rnacentral:lncRNA from 1 species
UACGGGAUGGUGGAGGGAUUAAACUUGCCUUCGCAGAGCAUGCAGUCGAAGGGGUGGCAGGGGAGCCAAACGAUGUCGCUUCCGGUGUCCAUGUAGAGAGAGAUGGUUUGGGAGCCGAGGGUGAAGGACAAGCUGUAGUCGCUGCCGGGGUUCAGCGGAAGGGAGACUUGAAGGCGGUGGGUUUGUUUCUGGUUUUGGCUGUGUAGGCGGUGGCGAAAGCGGGUGGCAGCGUGGGUGGAGGUGGAUUUGAGGAGGUGGGGAGUGGUGUUGAAUUGGGAUUUCGAGAGGGAGUGAGUUAAGGGAAGGACUAGGAUUGAUGAAUAUGAGAUAGAGACGUGGAGAAUUAGGGUGGCAACGAAGAUGAUGAAUAAAAUGGAGGAAGCCAUAUUGAAGGACACAAACAGAGAUUUUUUUUUUUUAAAAAAAAUUUUAGCUAUCUAUCCACAAUUGUACGUGUUUUUAAAUUUUAAAGGGUGUGUGAUUGUGUGUUUAUAUAUAUACACAGCGAGAGGGAAGUAAGAAGAGCGUGUGAUUGGUGAGCUGCUUUAUAGGUGGUGAUGAACUGACCAUGGUUGAGACUUGAGAGGAGAGGUUAAGUCAGCGAGAGGGGCAGAAGAGGACGAAGCUUCUAGUGGGAAGAGGCAGCCUAAAAGUUUACUUGCAACGUACUAGUAGGUUGCUUGGUUAGCUAGCUGGCUUUUUUGGAUUCGGAGUUUUCCCAAGUUGAAGGCAGUUGUACAGUAGUAAUACUUACACUCUAUUUUUUAGUAUAAACAUAUACUAAUUUUAUUACUUUAUACGACUGAUUCAUGAUUAUAUUUUAAAAUUAUACGCAUUUACGUUAAAAGUUGUGAGAUAUUACAGCAAUAAUCGAAUUGAACUGACGGAGGCCCCUUGAUCCGGCUUCUUUGAGAUUGAUAGCUUCAAUAUUAUAUACAGUAUGUUUUUACUGUACCUUUUUUCCUAUUUGUUUUCCCACUUUUUUUUUUCUGAUGAGAAAUAAUUGCUUAAACUUGACGUGGUCAAUUAAACCGUUACAGUAGUGUGUUACUCAAUUUGUUGGGAGCUAUGGACGAGGAUUAAAAAAAAAGGAUGUACUCUUCUUGUUGUGCAUGUAACUUGGGGAUAAGUUCCGACCCAUAAAGUGAUUUUACAUUGGCCGGUAAAAGCCUGAAAGUGAAUCGGAAUUCAACCCAUUAUUGAUUCUCAAAUGCCUUAUUUGGAUUGCUUGUUUCUGUCAAAAAAUUACGUGAUUUUUUACAAUCAUAUUUUUUUAUUAUCUUUUUUUCUCACAUACAUCAAAUCGUUACAGUAAUUUUUUCAUGAAAAAUCAUAAAAAAUAUAAUCCAAACACAAAAACUUUCCAUUUUGGCCUGGCCUGGACUGGACCGCAGUAGGGGGAAAGCAUAAAGGGUGUUCAUUGAUUAGCAAAGUGGAAUUUGUUGUGCAUGUUCCACCACAGAUGAGAUAUGAGAUUACAUCCCUUGAUUAUAACAUGUUGUCCGAGAUUGACAUGCCACGUCAGAAUAUUUAGAAGCCUUAUUGACUUGAACAGUCAAAAAUAAUUUAGAGCUCAAAUUAUAUCGCCUACAAUUAAUUAUGUGUGUGAUAAUUUAAUGUUUUAAAUUAUGUAGAAGGGGCAAUUACACAAACCUCCCCUUGAGGUUUGUGUUAACAUCACUCAGCGCCCCCGUGGUUUCAAAAAUGUUUCUUACUUUCCCUGUCCGAUUAAGAGGAUGAGAUGUCUCCAUCACAGGUGAUAAAUUGAUGAUAUUACCCUAAUAGAAACUCUUAAUUGAUUAACUAAAAUUCGCACAAAAAAUGAAUUUGAAAAUUAAAAAAAUUAGAACAAUAAUUAACAGAACUACCAAAUAUAUAAGAGUGCUCCUUUUUUUGUUGUCUUAAAGUUGGAGUACUAGUAAUUGCACAGUUGUAAAACUACUCAUCUGCUGCAACUUCUCCUUAUUAUACUUACAUCUUUCCCAAUCCAAUUUGUCUUUUGCCUAUUAAAUUUAUUUUGGUUUUAAUUGCUACUCUAAUAUUUAUAUAAAGAACAAUAACAUGGCAUAAAUGAAAGACAAACCUAUGAGGGUACUAAGCGAUAUCAAGACAAACCUCAGGAGGGAUUUGUGAAAUUAUCCAUGUGUAAAAGGGGGAAUGUGCAUGUUUCCAAUGUACCCUUUUCCCAAUUGUUGGGCUCAUGCAGCCUCAACUCCAUCUUUGUUCAUAUUUGCUAAAUUGCUCAUUCUACCAGUAAGAAUAGAGAUGACAGAAUGUGAACUAAUGCCUUUAGAAAGAAGAUGAGGAUUUACAUAGUGCUACUUGCUCGUGCGGUGGUAAAUUGGUAAUUAAGGCAGUUUUUUUUUUUUUUUUUUCAUAGACAGAAUAAACACACACACAAUUAGAUUAGAAACGCUCAGAAGUCAUCGCUAAAUUGGGUCUAAAGACCAGUCUAAAGGGGACUCACAAAUCAACACCAUCUAGUCAAUUGGUGACAGGAGGUGCGGCCGAGAACUUUAAAUCCAAAAUAACUACCCCACAAUCUUUCGAUGUGGGAUAGAGUGUCCCAUCCCCAUCCUCCUCCUCCCCCGAGCACAUCCUCGCCAACCAUAUGAUUUGUUUUUUUUAUAGAUAGAAUAAACAUACACACAAUUAGAUUAUAAAAUUAAAACAGUUCGCUACCUAAAAAUCGCAAACUCUGACCCGGUCCUCAAGAAUAAUUAAACCCCCAAAUGCCAAGUCAACUGCGUCAAGGUCAAACAAGCAGGGCUUUGCUUCUUCUCGUCCUUUAGGCUUUAGUCCUACCAUAUAAUAACAGCGUACUACAAGUCUACAAGAUCGUGAGCUGUAUCAGUAGUGUUCUCCCUUAACUCAUUACUGCAUGUACGAGAUAACGUUCCUUUUUUUUUUUUUUUUUUUUUGAAAUGGAAUGGCUAGGGAUAAACACAAGAUGACACAACGCCCAAGGUUGCCGAUAAAGUGCGCGCACCUAAGUUUCAAUAAAUUCAAACUGGUCCUUUGCCCUGAUAUUUUGGAGUCCAAAUUCAAUCCAAUCAUCUGGAUACAGUGUCCACUCUUGAAACUUAUCCACACAAAUGUUGGUAACAGUACCGAUCCUUGAAUAUGGCACUAAACUAGUCAUUUUAUUGAUUAGAUGGUACCAAGCCACCAUUCACUAAUCUGUGGAAACACGGCAAUUGUGCGUGUCAAUCAUUUUAAACGCCAAGAUCCUUUCAUCAUGGGUCUAGUCAAUCACUGUGGAGUAAAUUACAUACUAAAUGGAUCAGGGGGCGGGAAUGCUAAAAACAAAUAAAAUAAAUUUCGUUGGAUUGAUUUUGUGUAUUUUACAUAGGUGUGGGCCUAUUUGAAAGGUGUGUUUUUUAGGUGCUUGUAUAAAAUUUUACUGUAGAUCACUAUAAAAUUUGUAGAAAAACUUUUGUAGGAUAAAUUUUUUCCCUUAUCAUUUUCUUUCUUUCUUUUUCUUUUUUCUUUUUUCUUUUUUUUCUCUAUUUUUUUUUCUUUUCCUUCCUCCCUCCCCUGUCCCCUCUCCCGGAGACUUCCAUGGCAGCAACUUUCUUUUUGUCCUUUUUUUUUUUUGCUUUUUUUCUCUUCCAUGGCAGCCACCCCUCCCUCUCUCUCCCCCGCCAUCUCUCUUCUCCCUCUCCCCUUCCCCUUUCUUUCCCUGUCACCCCUCUUUUUUUCUUUUUUUCUCUUUGCCUCUCCCUCUCCCUUCCCCGCCUUCCCUCUUCUCCCUCUCCCUCUCCCUUUCCCCUUCCUUUUCCCGCUGCCGCCAUCCUUUCUCUCCCCCUUCGCGACACGAUCCGGUCGGGCCCCUCCCCUUCCCCUUCCCCUUCUUUCCCCCGCCCCCUCCCCUUCCCCUUUCAUCCUUUGCGAUCUAGUCGUGCGACCAAAUCAGUCAAAGAGGGAAGGGGAAGCAGAAAAAAAAAAGGAAAAAAUUUUCAGAAGGGCACCAACAGAUCGGUCAAAGGGGGAGGGGAGAGAAGGAGAGAGGGUGAGGGAGAGAGGGAAAAAAAGGAGGAAGGCCGGAACUGGAGGCCGGAAUAGUGACCUGCGCCGGAAGCGGUGGUGGAGGUGGUGGCCGACGGCGGAGGAUGUGGUGGGUUGGGUGGGGGGAGGAAAAAGAAGAAAAGUUAAAGGGAAAGUUUUUUGUGUAUUUUUGAAGUGUGUAGGUUAAAAAUUUUGAAUAAGUUUUUUGGAGUUCCAGUAGUAAAAGUUGUUAAAAAACUAGUAGGUAAAAAACUUGCUUAAAAACCUGGUUUCCAAAUAGGGUUGCAAACGAGUCGAGUCGAGUCGAGUUUUGAGCUAAUCGAGCCGAGUUUCGACUAAAUUUUACCAAACUCGAGCUCGAGCUCGACUCGAAUCAAGUCGAGCCGAGUUCGAGCUCGAAAAAAAAAAUAUAAUUAUUUUAUUUUUUAAAAAAUAAAUAAAAUAAUAUUUUUUUCUUAAUAAAUAAUAAAAUAUUAAGGAUAUAUACGUAAUUUUACUAUGAAAAUAAAAAAAAAAUAUAUAUAAUAUACAUAAUUUUAUUAUUAAAUAAAAAUAAAAAUAAAAAAAUAUAUAUAUACUCUAGCUCGCGAGCUAACGAGCUUAAUAUUCUGAGCUCGAGUUUGACUCGAGCCGCUCGCGAGCAGCUCGAUUCGUUUGCAGCCCUACUUCCAAACAGGCCCGUAAUUUAGUUUGCACACGAUAUAACUUAUUUUCUAUAACAUAUAAUUAUAAAAUAAAAUUUUGUGGAUUCAACACAUGAUGUAAAAAAUGAUGUACAAGAUGAAAUUUGAACCUUGCAUUUUUUUUUUGUCAAAUCUUGGCCCCCAACCUUCUAGAAUGGUUGCUUCCUAUAACCGUUCGUGCCCCAUUUCACAUACUAAAUAUUUAAUCAAAUUCGUGGCGGAGGACGAAAAUAUGAAUAGGUUUUAAAUUGAUUCCACUUCCAAGAAAAGUUUUAGAAAUAUUUGUAGUUCAAACAUAUGAUUUUGAACAAGUUCUGAUAAUUCAUACGAGUCAUAUUUUAUUAAAUAAAUUGCAAAACCCACAUCCAUGGAAUACCUCAUUAUUCCCAAUUUAGUAGGACACUUUCAUUAUCCAUAUGACUUUUUGGCGUUCAAGCCUUCGUUUUUUUUUUUUUUUUGGCGAAACGGCAACAUGUUCAAACCAUUUGAGUACAUUAAUUAUAAUCAGAAUCAAACCCAAAUACUAUGAAUUGGGUACAUUGUCACUUGUCAGAUUUGUAAGACAGAAACCUGCAAGGAGGGAGACGGUGAUGGGAUGAUCAAGGAUUAACGCUCAUAUUUGUGAAUAAUAAUUUGCCAACCUCAUGGAGAGUUGGAGUGGACCAUACUUGGAAGAUCUCAAUGGGGACCCUUUUGAAACCAGUCUAAGACGUAAAUACGUAAUUUGAAACCAAUCUUUCGUAAUUUCCUACCCCCAAACCCCAACCCAAAAAAAAAAAAAAAAGGGAAACUUUUGGAAAGGAGAUACUUUGGUUGGAGUUCGAGCAUUCAUUGCUUACGAGUUACGAUCCAAUACAGCUGCUGGAGCCUGCCAGCUCCUCUGGACAGCGACCCAAACUAGGGCGCGUAGCGUCUGUCAGAACUUUUUUAGGUAAAAUUUGCUUGCGAAUAAAAGAGAGGGACGGUAACGUAGCAUGUAAUUGCUGACAGUAAAAUAACAUGCAUGAAUAUCAAUUCUGAAAAACGCAAGCAUUGAGUAACUAUCUAUGCAAUUGUUGGACCAAUUCACAGUUCAAAUCUGUCUUAUGACCAACAAGUCUAGCUCGGUCGGCCAACCAGAGGAAGGACUAAGUCCCUCCCCAGCGCAGGUCAGGGGUUUUCUCUCUACAAUUUUUUAGAAUGUGGUUGAAGGUUAUUUAGUUCCAAUUCGAGUAUUUUAAUGGAUUAAAUAGGUUUAUCCCCUUCUUGUUCCUUCAUUACAGAAGCAAUUGUAACGAUGUUGUACUCAUGUAUUUCACAAAAAAAAAAAAACGAAGAAAGUGUCUUACCAUACGUUAGAAGGACAAGAUUGAUUCUAGGACACAAUUUUUGAUGCAUAACAAAAUUUCGCAUGUUCCCACAUAAUAAUAUUUUAUAUUCAUGAGUGUGUCUGGAUAGUUUAUUAUUUGUGAAAAUCUAUUUGAUUGUAUGAUAAGCAUCUUUUUAUUUUUCUAAUUACAUUUACAUCUUACAUACAUCGCGUAAAAAAAAAUAUUAUAGUGUUUUUUUUUUGUUUAAAAAUUGUGACUGUAGAAACUCUACAAAUGCUAACACCUCUGUAAUUAUGGUUUGCUUGAGGGUAUUACCUUAUUUUUAAAUGUUCUUUCAAGUUUCUUCCUUGCAGUAACAAAUAACAAAUUUAUCUCAUCUAAGCAUUAUUCCGUGCAAUUACACCUAGCAAUUUGUUGGGGAAUUUUCUCCCGUCAUCUUCUCUGGUCCCACAAAUUUCCGUGCAGUUUAAUUUUGGAUGAUGCGUAGAUCCUACCGAGCCAAUAAUGCUGCGUAACAACAACGAAGAAGGGCCCAAACUCUGAUCCCGUACCAAAUUUCCUUGGCAGUUGGCACUUUGAAUUUUAAUCCCGGUUCUUGAUCUUUAAGAGGCUUCGUCUUUCCCUCAUCUUUUUUUUUUUUUCCCCUCAAAGGGGGUAAAUAGUUAGAGCAAACUACAAAAGUGUAUCACUCCUUGUUUGGAAAGUCAUUUUUUUUUUCAAAUUUUUGUUAUAUUUUUCAAUCGUUUUGCUAUCACGCAUGCAUUAAAUUGUUACAGUAUGUUGUUUUGUAUAAAAACUCCAGAAAAUAACAAUUCAAACAUGCUCCUAGUCUCUAAAGUUUUGCUCGUCAAACAUCAAAAUUUUGUUCCAAUCCUUCCCUAUCUUGCCAACUUGUAUCAAUUUACCCCGAGUUGGACUGGACAAAGAGCAAAUUGACCAACAAUUUACUCUAACCAAAUAAGAAGAAAUUCAAAAUUUGAGUGGCAUGGUUGGUUCAAGCUUAUUAUUUGAAAAGCAAGAUGCUAAAGGACGUAAAACCUCUGUGUGGGACAAAAUCAUGUAAUGCGUAGGACCAAGUCUUUGUUCCAAGCUUAUCAAGCAUACAAUGGAGAAAACUUAUAAUUGUGCUUAGUUACAGAGCAGCAAAAAAUUCAAAGAUACUUGAUAUUAUAUCAUCACGCGUCCUAUUACAUGCUUUAAUUCAAGAACCAAGUUCAAUUUGACCAUGCAUACACCCAAAAAACAAAAAACAAAAAAAACUAUACAUAAAAUCCAUAUUAUAUACAUUCAUAGUUUGGUAAGCAUCUGCACCUGCAGCAAGCGGACCCUUUACUGGCUGUAAUCUCAGAAAUAUGGAGCUUAUCGGACCACAUGACCAAAACUUGGGGAUGAGAGGAAUGGGUUUGAACGUGUGAGGCUGGCUUGAAAGAGUUUGGUAUGUUGAUUCCAAUCAUUAUUGCCUGCGGACCAUAGUCAGAACUGUCCACAUCCACAACCCAUUCUUUCCCAUGCUAAUUAUAAGUUCCAGCUGCCUCGGCUUACCAAACUUUGAUGAUAAUCUUGUAGUGUAUAGAAGGCAGACCAAGGAAUCUAACUUAACUUUCCCCGCUCGCUUCUGCCCUUUUCAUUUUCAAUAUUUCUGUCCAUUGAUUGGCCAUGUUUAAUAUGACAGAGACUGGGACAUGGGCUAGGAUUAUUUUGAUAGACUUAGGACUCUCUCCUCUACUGUGCUUUUGGUAUGGAUGCUUAGCAUAUAAAACUGAUCUUUUUUUUUGAAGUGGAAGGGAGUUGGUGAAGAAAAUCUUUAGUUAAAUGUGUAAGCUUUUCAUACAAGAUGCAUAAGGUAUCCAUUUCUCUUAUUAAAACAAAAUCUCUUUCAUUUACAGAAGCAGUUGUACUGUAUGUUCUGUCUCAUUCUUUUGGCCACAACACCAAAGCCUAUGAAUCUUACCAACCAUUAAACUGUACAAGAGGUCAUGAUAGAAAUGACAACUAAUCCCUCGAGACAUUCAUGAAUCAGGGACCGGUCUGUUGCAUCAGAUACUCCGCCUAUAUCAUAGUACCAAAGCUUCGUAAAGCAAAGUGGUGAGAAAAGUAAAGAGUUCCAGGAAUUGCUGAACAGUGCAUAAGGUCGUAAACAUGGCUUCUAUUUCUGUAGUCUAUACUUUACAGCUUGAAACACACACACCCCAGAUUAACUCCCUAAUUUUUGGAGAGUUAAGGACAUGGAUCAGUCACACACGAUGAUGUUCCAGCUAGAAAGCACCAAAAACUAAUGGUUUUGAGGUUGACGAGCUAAAUUUAGGAGGCAGCUAAAUGUAAUUUUCCUUUUUCUCUUUGUUGUGUGGAGGGCCAGAACCAGUGUCUAAAUGCUGUUGGCUUUACAUGCUUGAAAUGAUAGUUUUGUCACGGCUAUGUCUAAGCUGUAGACUAUGAAACAGAACCAUGAACUUGGAACAGUCGCUUCCUGUUCAUAAAAUGUUAGGAUUACGGGUAAUGUCACCAAUCAGUUGGAAGAAUUCUGCACCAGAAAUUAAGAGCAUUCAACCAACAAAAUUAGGAAAUUUCUACCUAUCUUCCCUAUGCCAUACAAAUUUCAAGCAAAAUUCUUGGCACAGAUGCGAAACUACAUUGGCAUCAAGAUGUUAAAAGGAUUAUGAUCAGUCAUCGCCAUUUUCUGAUUCCAAUGCAAGGCUCUUAAAGGAUUUUCUCAUGCCUCUUUGUUAUGUUACACCUAGGUUUUAAGCAUCGGGUGCGAAACUGCUUCACUUCUGGAGCUAUUGUAAUCCAGAAAAUGGUACAGUCCCUAUUCAUCCAUCCAUUAGGAGGCAAGUUACGCAACCCUUUAUCCACAUGUUGCUAAUUUAGACGAUGUCUCACGUUACUAAAUGGAUAUCAUAUCAACCAGAUCCUCUUGACCCAUAGAAAUGUCUGAUGUCUUUAAAGAACCGAGUAAUUUUUUUGUUUUUUGGGGUAAGUAAGAACCGAGUAAGUUGUCAUAUAAACAAAGCAUGCUUAACUUGUGGCUAUUAUGCUAGUUACAUUCGGACACUUUUCCAUAGCCUAAUCACCUGAAAUUCAAAAUUAAGUUUCCAGCAAUAGAUUGAUCAGAGACAGAAACUAACCUAGUUCAGCAAAUAAAAAUUCAUUUGGCAUUGGCACCAGAAUUUGCUCACGACAAGUAAACUUCCAUGGUACAACAUCUUGCAUUCAUAUCAGAGCCGUUGGUUUCCAGGGCUUUUUUCAUUCCAAGAAAUGAAAAAAGCUCAGCUAAAUUAUGGUAAAAAUGAUCAGAUCACAUGAAACAAAAUUUCAAUUAUGUAAGAUGCUGUGAAAAGAUCAUGCCAGUGCAAUUGCACAGCUUACUUGAUCAACCAAUUAACAAAACAAAGAUUACAAAUCAUCAACAUAGCCUGAACGAAGCAAUGUCAUCCAGAUCAGCACUUGUACAAGAUUGCCUGAUCCUCAAUUCCUCAUCACUAUUUACGCUUUAUCUUCCUUUCAGUUGGAAGCUUGACAAAUACAAUACUGUGCAGUAAGGGUCCUAGGUAACUUUGCUAUAGUCAUAUUACAUUUGGCAAAGCAAAUGGAUUACCGUGGAACAAGCCAGAAAGAGUUGAAGAUGGACUACGUUUAUGAGGUAAGAGGAGACAAUGGCUUUAAUUUCUCCAACAACUUUUCAGCUUUGAUAAAUCCACCAAGUGGUCCAAGAGAUAAGUAUUUUAUGGAUUUCCAACUGUUUCAAAUCCGUGAAAUUAGAAGAUGCAUUUGUGAUUUUUUGCAGAAGUUGAGAUCUUCUCAAAUUAAAAAAAAAAAAAUGCUAUCCAAGCUAAUGGCACAAGGGGAAACAAACCUUGGAAUAAAAGGAAGUGCUAAACAAUGAAGGUGGAGAUGAUCAACACUGUUAAAAGGAGGUUGAUGAAAACCAAAUCUGUUCAUAGUCAUACAUGGAAACAAACAAAAGAAAUAUAGUUCAGCAUUUCUUUUCCCCAGUAGAUAUCUGGAGGUGAACCUACAAUCUAUUCAGACAGCCAUCAAAGUCGCACUAUGAAAGAAUUAUACUGAUAUUCAUUAAAUGAACUUGUAAAGUGCAAUUCCAUAUAAACCCAGUCAACAAAGUUAAAUUUACAACCAAAAGUAUGUAACUAAAACCUAUGCUAUUACUUUGUCAACUAACUGUUGACUUGACAACUUCUAUUCCUUUGCAAAGUCUCCAUCUUACCUCCCAUGAAAUUAAAGAAGAAAAGAGAGAAAUUAAUUGUACUUGACCAUUCCACUGAUCUAUUGCUCAUAAAAAAUCAUGCCACUCCUCCUAACAUGUGAAUAUGAUAUCCACCACUGAGAUCAUAUUAAAGAGUGUGUAAAAUGUGUUUGGUAAGAACAAAAGAUAUGUAAAAGGCACUGCACUUCCAAGAUGGUAAAGUAUACAAAAGACUGUUCUGCAGACUGUGCUUGUAUGGUAAUGGUAAAAGGUGAACCAUAAACAGAACAAUUAUUCAAUUUUUCUUGCCAAAUAUUAAAUGAAAGAAAACUAAUUACACAAUCCAGCUAUUACUGAAAGUAUGCAAAGCAUUAUCUACAGAAUACUAAAAUUUGACGAGUAGUCUGGCCAAAUUCUAUUCUUGCUACCAUUUUUAUAUUCUCAUAGGAAGUAGUUGACCGUAAACUUCUCAAAUGAAGAAAUAAAAUUUCACAUAGUUUAAACCAUUAUUUUUUGUUUACACCACCCUCAUAACAGAACAGAGUCAGCAGAUCAAAAUUUGUGAGAGCUCAUAACCGAGUUUUUAAGCUCCAGAGAGAACAUUUAGCUAAUGAAAAAUGCUAGAACCUCAGGCUUCAUAAGUAAUUUGUUUGGAAUACUACAGGGAACUUUUUCUGUUGAACCAUUGCGUUUGCUGUUUUUCCUUCUUCAAAUGGGGAUGACGAUUUCACUAGCUUUCAAGCUAUUCAUAAAUACUGGAAGGAAAGUGGUACAAGGAGAAAUUGAGAAGAUUAAUGGCCACUCCAGCUUGAUGGAAAGAAUGCACAUAAAAGGCAUCUAAAUACAUCUUGUCACUCCAUGGAAUAGGUAGUUUUUCAUUCUCAUUCUCUUCUACACUUUCAAUUUGUAGGAGAUGUGGGGGAUGGUUUGGGCUGUCAAAGAAGUUACAGUGGAUGCCGUAGGAGUGCCUGACUUAAUUUUAUGCACAGAGCUGCUAAAACCUAGUAUAUUUAUCAUGAAAACCAUGAAAAAACCACUGAACACACUACUGUUUAGAACCAGAAUCCUGAAUUCAACUUCAGUUUGCUCCUCGAGUAUAAUUCUCUGACCUAUUCAAAUGUAAAAAGGCAUCAAGAAUUAAGUAGACCUUGUGCAUGUCUAAAGAUACUACUACCUGAAAUGCUUGGAAUUAGGUGCAUCCUUGCGCAACAGAGUUUGUCCCACAUCUAACAUGUGACUCACUGUAAAAGAAAAAGUAGAAGAUCAUUCACAACAAGUACAAAAGAAAAAGCCAUUUUCUAUAUACCUGAAGUAAUCAGCUUUUCAUAGCUAAAUAAACUUUUCUUACCUAAUGCAAAGUCUUCAUCUCUCCUCUGAAGGUUCCUCACUGUUGGAAUGUGCUCUAUUGGAAUUACCAGGUAAUGCCUAUUAAAAUAUAUCGGAUAAUCAUCAUAAAUUAUUACCAUUGGGUGUUCCCAGAUCCCAAGUAUGCAAAAUGUAUAUCAAAUGAAGCUAUUUAACUGGAAGUGGGAUGAAUGUCUUUGCCCUUUAUACACUACAUAUAAAUGGUAUAUCACAUGUUUGAGAAGCAAAACGUGAGAUCAACACAUUUAAGCGAAUUGCUAAAACUUGAAGGAUAAUGUGUGUAAUGUUCAAUUGGUGCCCUUCCAUCGUUUAGCUCACUGACAAGAUCCAAAUCACAAUUAAUCACAAACAAGUAUAUAAGAACUCUUGCCGGGGUUACAGUCAGCUAAUAGAUUGAUCAGCAGAUUCACGAUACUGAAUUCUUAUGAAUGAAAGCAAUCAAAGUACAAGGGAAUUUGCAGCAAUUUAGGCAAGCGGAACUGAUAUUUCCAAAGGAUUGACAAUUCUAUAAACUCAAACACGUGAACAGGAAAAUAAGCAGCAGCUACAAUCAACCCAGUCUGAGUAAACGGAUAAACUGGCCAGCAAAACACGACACUGAAGAGAAUCAAUCACAAUCAGAGUAUAUCUACUCACAUAUGGAACAAUAUCUAGACAGAGAACAUGUUGAAAUCAGAAACGAAAUGAGGUAGCAAUUCAAAUUAUGAAAAUUUGGGACCUGAAUGCAGAAGGGUUGAUGUCCUGAAAAACAACCACCUUUUCAUCCUGUAAAGUCAACACAUUCAAGAACAUAAAAAUUACAAAACUUUACAGCCAUUCCCUCGUAGGUUCUGCCUAUUCAAUUGCAAUAGUAAUAGGAGAAGAAAGAGAGAGCGGCAGAAGGAAUGUACAGAGUGGAGGAGAACAGUGGAGGUGGAAGAACGGGCAAUCUGGCAGAAGAUGCAGGAAGAUGCUGAUGAUGGAGCUCGCAUCAUUUCCGCCAGCUUCGCCCUUGGCCUUUCAAGAACUUCUCUCACGUUUUUGAGCCAAUAAAAUGAUGGAUUUUUAGUCGACUUUCCGUUUCUUUGGACGUUGUCCGCUUGUCCCAUACUGUUUGUUCGUAGGAAGAGAAGAGUUUGGUUAAAAGCCCAUUCAUCCUAAAAAUAAUCCAUAACACCGUAUCCUAAGCGGCCCGACCCCCAACCCAAACUUGAUGCUUUCCCUCUUCCUUGAGCCCCGACUGCUCCCCAACCGCCUGCUUUCCCUCUGCAGCCUCUUCACCAUUCUUAAAAAUCCCUCCUCCUUUCAAUUCAAGUCUAGAGCAGUCAGAAACAUGAGUUCUGAUUCAGCUCAGCGGAUGUUCCAGCUCAAACUCGACCCACUCACUGGCAACUCAGAAUGGGUUGUGAUUGAAGAAAACCAAACCCCAGAAGAGAAAACCAAGGAGCCCCUUUUGGCCACCACUUCUUAUCUUGACAUGCUCAAUGAUUCUCACAGAAACAGAGCAUUUCGUCAAGCCAUUGAUAAGACCAUUACUAAGCCUUGCCAUGUACUUGAUAUUGGGUAAUUUAUAUCUGCAAGUUUUUUUCACUUUUAACUUUUGACUAACAGAAGUUUGCUUGGUACUAGUCAAGGAUAAUUGAAAGUUGUGAUCAAUGAAAAUUCCAUGUAUAAAAAAUGAUCAAGCAGGUCAGGGAUGUGAAAGAUUAGACUUCUACUAAUUAAUGUAGAAGCCAAGGACUUAGGACUAUAGACUUGGAAGAAAACAAGGUACUAUAUUUAUGAGAGUUCUACAAUUGCUUCAGUGUCUCUUGCAUAAUUUACAUUCAUUUAUAACGUUAAUGCUAUCCAUACCAGCAUUUUGUUAAGGUCAGAAACAAUAGAAAAAACGGGAGAAAGAAAGCAUUGUUUGAUAGUUGGAAUUUUUAUGAGAAAUAAAAAUUUGGAAGAUAUAGCAUUCCUUUGUUAGCAUAGUAUUCUAAGGUGCAUCUUAGGUAGAGGGUUCAGAACUUUUGCUGGUAUUGAUGUUAUUCUUUUGACAACAUUUGUGUUUACAUGUGCUUGCGAGUUUUCUAUCAGACUGGCUACAUCGUUACCUAUUGAAGGAUUGAAAUGUCUUUGCUCUUUUUUUUUAAUUUACUGUCUUAUGUAUUGUGAACCCAAUAUUUUGCUUUCAGUGCUGGGACUGGUUUAUUGUCAAUGAUGGCUGCUAGGGCGAUGGGUCUUGAUGAUUCAUCCACGAGUUAUUGUCCAAAAGGAAAGGUAACAGCCUGUGAAUCAUACCUUCCCAUGGUAAAAUUGAUGCGCAAAGUGUUACGAGCAAAUGGAAUGGACAAGAAAGUACGUGUCAUCAACAAGAGAUCUGAUGAAUUAGAAGUUGGCAUUGAUAUGAGUUCACGUGCUGAUGUUCUUGUAAGUGAUGAUAUCGCACACACAAGUUUUAAAUAUUAUGACAGAAGAAGGUUACAGCUAUAGUUAAUCAGGAAAGGGUAACUGUUAAGUAAUGAAAUUUUGUCAUUAACUGCAAAUGUGAAUAUGGAAAUUGCUACCCUAUUGACUAGCUCUAUUUUAGAUUAAGCAGUAGCUUAGGCUUGUCAAAAUACAUAACUUGAACUUUUUCUAAGAAGCCGGUUAUUGUUCAACGUCAAUCUUCUUUUUUUCCCUUUUUUUCACUCUCUGCUUCUUUUAAAGUAUUUGUGGGGCCAGACAAGUGAGGCCCAGAAGCUGCAUUGCCAAAACUGUUACCUUUUGUUGAAGUAAACCAUUUCGGUUCUUUUCCAUAGUUUUUUAUGAUUCUUUUAGUGAUGAGUCCAGUGGAUUUGAGGCUCGACUCUCUCCCUGAAUAAGAAACAUUACGAAUUCUUCAUCAGACUUCUGCCAAUGUUAUUUCAUCAGAGCUGCUGUUCCCCUGCAUUUUUGUUGGGUAAAUAGAUAUGCAUCAAAUGGGAGGCACAUUUGAAAAAGCAGAACUUCUGUGGUACCUUCUUUCUUUUUCAUUUGCAAAUGCAAUGGACUACAGAAGAUCGAGAGCCAUCAGUUUAAUCUAGUUGACCAAAAUAACAGAGUAGAGUUGCCGGCUAUUGUGGCUGACUAUUUCUGUUCGAAGUAUGUCUUGGGUGAGACAGCUGAAUUAAGCUUCUUGUAUAAUCUAUUUUGCGUGUUACAUAAUCAUUUUUAAUAGCUAACUGCUGCUGUUAACCUGGAAACAAGGCUAUAAGUUGAAAUAAUGAUCCAUUAAGCUUAAUAUUCGACUAAAUGCACCCAUUAUAAUAUAAAAUUAAUGCAUGUCAAAGUCAAAGUAGUUUGCAGAGAGCUAAUCUUCUUGUGCAUUAUCACAAAAUCUUUUUAAAAGAUUUUCAGUUGGUGUAUUCAGUAAGUACUAAUUAGUAUUUAGUUUACUUGAUUCUCUAUCUCAUGCUAUAAGAUAUGUUGUAUAAUAUAUAUUUGUUUGUUUAUUACUUAUCAUGCUAUUACAGGUCAGUGAAAUUCUGGACUCGGAGUUGUUGGGUGAAGGGCUGAUUCCCACUUUACAGCAUGCUCAUGAUAAUCUCUUGGUGGAAAAUCCGCAAACUGUACCAUACCGGGCGACAACUUAUGGCCAGGUGUCUUUCCAUAUUGAACCCAUUUAGUCAUUUGAAUUUUAUCUAAUUGGAGUAAAAUCUUUGGGUCAUAAUCCUAUCUUCGUUUAAGCUCCUUAGCGAAUCUUGUGAAAGCAUGGCAUUUUGUUCAAGGAGUAUGAUUAGCAGGAAAGAAAGAUGCAGUUAUUUUGGUAUUUUUUAUGUAAAAGUAGUGUGCUACAGUUGGUUAUAUGCAGUUAUUUUGGUAUUUUUUUAAUGUAAAAGUAAUGUGCUACAGUUGGUUAUCAUCAUGGUCCAUCAAGUACAUUUACUUCCCUUUGAUCUCAAUGAAACCAUGGAGAAACACCUGUUGAUUGUGCCUUACUCAAUAUGAAUGUUGGAAACAUUUAUAUACUGAACCAAAAUGUAGAACUUUGAUCAGGAUUUUGAUUGUUUAUCUCUUGACCUUAUCGUUCUGUUUUGGCAUUUCUUUAGAUCAGCCAGCAUCUUUUCUCUGACUAGAAUCAUUGUUUACAAAAUCUGUUGAUUUAAGAGGAUGAUUCUUAGACCAUUACCUUGAUUUGUGUAUCUCAAACUUCUCAAAAUUGAGGAAAAUUCAUUUUGAGAAAAUGGUUUCUGGCAUUGUGCCCACUUGCAAAUUGGAAAGUAAAAGCCAUUAACAGAAUUAUGGUUAGCUGUAUGAUGAACAAAAGUGUGGUGUGCCUCAAAAAAUAUCCUCCGAAGAUGCAAAAAAAAAUAGUUUUAACAAGUAUAUUUCUGAUGACUGAGUACAAGCUAAUCCGUGAUUUGUAAGGCUGCAGGAUUGGCAAUAGAAGAAUGGGCAAGAUGACAACUACUACUGCAAGAUAAAGACAGGGACUAAAAGGAGGAAGAGUAUACAAGAAUAAAGAAACUUAAUUCUUAAGAGACUAAGCCAAUCUUCUUUGAAUAUUGGAAUCCUCAUAUUAGGUUUAAGAACUUGAUGGUCUCCAAACCCAUGGAGAAAUGACUCAGCUCGCAAGAAAAGCUGUUUUGUAUUGACUAGGAUUUACUUCUGAUUCACCGCAGUCUCCAUUAAGACUGGGAUUGUAAUGGGGUGUUGCACACAAGUACAACUCAGACAAAUUAUGGUUCCAAAUGCAUUCUGCAACCUUCCCCAGUGUCAUGUCAGUUAAGAAAAAACUACUUGUACUAUAGGCUAGCAUAAGUCCUAAUCUUUUGCUUCUGAUAGACAAUCUGACUCUUGGGUUUGUAUACUGAGAGCAAAAGUCUCCUUUCUACAACUUUUCGUAUAUGGAUGAGCUAUAACUUAAUAUCUGUGUCAUCACUUAGUCAUACUUAAGAUUGACAGGAGUUUUCUGAUAUUUGCAUUUAAAAAUGAUAAAGCUGUUCAUCCUUUCUUUCACUGCUUCCCUUUCAGCUUGUUGAAAGCCCAUACUUGCGGAAGCUUCAUGACUUGAGAUCAGGGAGAAGGAUAUGUGCAGGCAUUCCUUUAGCAGAGAAAAUGCUGAUGUACAUCCUGGCUUCACUCUUGCACUCAUAUGAUUGGAAAUCAACCAAAAGCAAACAGGCAGACCUUUCAGAGAAAUUCGGGAUUGUCAUGAGGAAAAGCACACCAUUAUUAGCGAUUCCUACCAAGAAAUUGGAUAAAUCUGGUGUGCCUGCAUAACAGAGCAGAUCAGCCACCCCAACAUAAUUGCUGUUGGAUAUGAUGUUAAAUAAAUUAUCCGUUUUACUGCGUUGAAGCUUUUAUUAUCUCGUUAUAACAUUGCUGAAUGAUAUAUAUUCCAUUUUUCUACAUCUCACAAUUAUCCCGUUAUAACAUUGCUGAAUGAUUCAAACUUCUCGACAUUUCUUUAUUGUCAAAAGGAAGUAUUAAGCGGAAAUGAGUUAAGAGAGGGAGAGAGCCACCACAAGUUAUUGAUACAAAGAUUAUCAAAUGAGAAUCCAGUUUAUUGAUACAAAAACCUGAUAUUAUUAUCUUGAAUGCCAAAUCAUCACAAGAGAUUGUCAAUGCAUCCUCAUCAAGUGAGAAAAUCAGGAUACAAAUAACAAUCUUUAGCUCGUGAGAUGUUUAUAUAUGUACACAGUUGAGAAGAAAGGAACAGUCCAUUGUUAAGCAGAAGCCGCAGCAUUGCAAAUUGGCAGAUCCUUUUCAACAUUAGGAGGGAUGUUGAGAAUAGGAUUACUCUCAAAAAAAUUGACUGGCUUUAGGUCAAAGCUUGAUGACACGGUUGGCAUGAUGGGAAAGUCCUCUUGACAUGGAACAUGAUGGAAACCUAAUGUAUACCACAGCACUAUGUCCUUGUUCUCAAUUGGUCGAUUUCUGCAAGCAAAAGAAAGAGAAUGCAACUCAGAAAUUUGAGAGUUAAAAUAAAAAUCUUCAGUAAAUGACACUUUUUCUCGAGGCACUACUAGAGAACCCUUCCUUUUUGGGUUCCAAGUGAAAGGCAAAUAAUUUAUCUGAAGAACACUGUGGCUGAUCUCUCUUCCCUUUCUCAAUCUCAUUCAUCUUGUCAACCUCAGCAACACGAUCAUCCUCCUCUCUACUCGAUAUUUCCAGCAAAAAGUACAUCAGAGAAACGGCACCUUUUUGGAUUAGAGCAUCAUCUCGUGCUGAUCCUUCUGUUUUCCCAUCAAAGGAUUCAGAUUUUGAUUCAGCGUGAAUAGAAGAUUCAUCUUGAGAUGACUCAGAGUUUUGGAAGGAAACAGAUUUUCCCACACGAGUCCCAGAUUGCACAGUCUUAAAGCUACUUGAAGGAUCAGUUCCAAUACAACCAAACUUGAACGAGGCAGGGGAACUGUCUCUGUCCUCAUCCUCGACGUUAUCUCCCCUAAUACAUAAAUUUGGAGACAUGGCAUCCACUUCGCCCAUCAUAUCAUCCACUUCGAUCAUCGUUUUGCCUUUAUGAUUUUUUCUGGGAAGAUUUGACACAAAUUUUGCAUCUUUAUGUUGCAAGUUAUCAGUGAGGCAGUCAUGAACAUCACUUUGGUCAGAUGGUGACUUGAAGCAUGACUCUAGAUCAACAGAGGGUGAUUUACUUCCAGUCAUGAUAGUGCUACUAUCGGUGCUGUUGGAAGCCAUCACUGUAAUAUUCAGGGUAUCUUCUUUAGUCAUAGCAGAAAUGCACCUACUCUCUGGUUUUCUACUAGUUCCAACAGGUGACGAGACUUUGUGCCAUUCACCACUCACUCUCUCUGAAACACUAGAAGAGGCACCAGCUGAGCACUCCAUUACAAGGUACUCCUCUGAGUGAGGUGCUUCAUCAAGCAGAGGCUUGUUAAGGUCUAUGCAUGCAGCUUCACGGGAAGGACAAAUGUUGGUCGCACAAGAUAUACCCAUACUUGGAACGUUUCCAAGCCAAUUUUUAGCCCCUGCACAAGGUGCAGAAUCGGGAAUAAAAAUCAAAUAACUGAUGUGAAUAAUUUGGUACUCUUAUGUGAGAAAAAUGCAUAGACAAUGCCAUGCGUGCAAUAUAGAGAUUAUCAAAGCAUGGGAAAGUGCCAACCUUGAUCUAAGUUGUUCUGCUCUAGAAAAUUUUUAGUCUCAUCUACAAGUGACUGAGUUCUCUUAAUUCCAUCAUCAAGAUAUUUAUUCACGCCAUUUGGGCAGCUGCAACUAAUCUGGAAAACAUGCAGGUUUCCAGAAUCAGCAGAGCAAGCAGCACAGCCGAGUGCAGACUUAGGUUGGAUAUCUCUACUCGAUGCUGUGGGAGCUGAUUCCUCCAAGUCAAUUGCAUAUUGGGAGGAUAUCGAAGUGAGCUUUUUAUCCCAAAUUUUCUUGCAACUCUUAUUUUGCAUAGUGUCCCCACUGAUGCUCAAGGAAAGCUGAACUUCUUCUGAAGAAGCUCCUAGCUCACCAUCAAAAUACUGAUCUACUUGUACAGGAUUUUCUGCAGUACCCCAACCAUCUCCCUUCUUAGGGAAAUGCAGAUCACUAUGUUUCACGUGGUGACUGGUUGAAACUUCAGCAUCCAUAGGUCUUCGUGAGAUUCCUUGAAAAGAGGAGCUUGCAGACUGUUUGGUGGACACAUUAAGGACAUUAAUCAAAUCAAAGUGUAGUACUCACAAAUAGGAAACUUAUUGUUUGGCAUAUAAGAUUGCAAAGAAUACAGCACAAGAGGCAAAGUAAACAUUUUUGCUCCAUGUAAAACUAGGCUGCCAUUGCCAUGUGUACGAGGGAGCUAAAUAUCUUAAGAAAAUCCUUUUCAUGCACCAUUUAGAUGAUAAAUGACUAAAGACUUUUUUUUCCUUUUCUGAUGGACAGGAGCAUAAAACAACCAUGCCUCAGAGUAGGUUGUCUUGUCCAAUAAAGAAACAAAAAUGCAAUCACCAAAAGUUUACUCUUAUACCUACAGUUUAUCAAUUGCACAAAUGUAUAAUAUUGCAAACAAUUCAUAUCAUGUACCACUUAAUUGAUAAAAGAGUAAUGACUUCUCUUUCCUCUUUUGAUGGACAGGAGCACACAACCCAUGCCUCAAAGCAGGUUGUCUUGUCCAAUAAAGAAACAAAAAUGCAAUCACCACAAGUUCACUCUUACAUCUACAGGUUAUCAAAAAUCGCACAAACGUAUGAUAUUGCAAGCAAGCCAUAACUUUUACAAGCGGAAAACGUUCAUCUCACUCAGAUUCAACCUACCUCUUUCAACCGCAAAUUCUUCAUCAGAAUCGUUUGUAUCUGGUACAACCGAUGAAGUUCCUGGACCUGAACAUCAUAAGCAAUGAGAUUGAAAAAUCAGCGUGCAAGAAGUCAUGCUUAGUUCAUGCAAGAAAACAAUUUCAGCUAAGCCAAGGACCAUGUCAUAAGAACAGAGUACAAUGUUCAGAUACUCGUAGAUUCAGGAGUGAGACCCAAAUUUUACACAAGUUUUUGUGGGAAAUAGGCAUCACCAGAUUGGUUUUCAAAAUCGUCCCUGCCACAACCCCAAGCCCAAAUAUAGAAAUUUCAAUUGUCUUCAAAGAUACACUAACUAUAAAGCAGCAGAUUUAGCUGAUAGAUCUUGGAGCAUCAAUUACUGACAUAAUUCAUUACGAACAAAAUUCACUUUCAGGCACGGCCAUUAGAUUGAAUUGACUGAUCAUAAAGGCUCAGAGUUUGGCUUACUAGACAGCCAUCACAUAAUUCAUUAGCAUGAUGAAGAGAAAAGACGGUCAGGCUUUUCAAUUAUUACUUCGACAGGUUGCUCUGGCUAUGAAGUGCAUAAUCAGUUUACCUGCUUCUUGAAUGUAUACUCCUGACUGAGCAUUUUCUGCUUUAAAGCUUCUCUGGGGGAUCCAUCAUGACUGUACUUCUGACGUAAAUAAUGAUCACCUCUUCUGGGUAACAUCCUGUCCCCUAAUAACUGAAACUUCGGUCAGCACUAAUUAUUUUGCAUACUCACGAGUAGUGCACUCUUCUGAGGAACUUUGAUGUCGUAAUCCGAGCCAUGUUGCUGCAAAGCUAUUCGUAAGUCUCCAUUACUAAAAUACAAAUCCAUCAUCAGAUAAUGGGCUCAUAUCAGAAGUCAACAAAUGCUUGUCUUGAAAAUCAAACAAAUCAUAAAAGAAUGGAUAAGGCAGCAAUGAAAAGCAUAUCAAAUAAUGGAAGUAUGUUGUUUCAAGAAGAUGCAUAUGAUUUAAAUGAUGGAAUGUUCAACAGGCUGCCAGACAUGCAAAGGUGUGGAAGCUUUGAGUCCAACUAUAAAAUUUUCCUGCAGCUUUCCAUACAUAACACGAUUUAAGAAGAAUACAUACAUAAACUAAUUCUCACAUACUUCUAAGAUAUGCCAGGCUUCUAAUAACCAUAUGCUAAGGAGAACAUAGCCAACUUCCAACUUCCAGAGAGUGACCGAUGUCUGAUAAAGAAGAUUCAGAAGAAGAAGCACGAUCAACUACAUUGCUCCCCCCCCCCCCAACAAAACCAAAAAAAAAUAAAAGGCCCCUAUAAUGCUAGAAUGAAUCUAGCGACUAAAGGCCAAAAGUGUGGCAAUGACUUCCAAGCUAUGAAAUGCCAUCUUCUCAGUUCAACUUCAAUCCGCCUGUCUCUGAAUGCUGGAAACAGCCAAAAACAUAUCUUGGCCACAACGGGGUUAAAGCCAACUCAUUCCCGUUAAAGUCUUGACUUGAAAUGUCAAAAUCCAAAUUCAAGUGCAGCAAGAUUAAAUAUUCAAAACGGGAUAUUUCAGCUGGCUCAACAGUUGCCCAAGUCGUUCUGAAGAAUGUUUAAGGAUCACGACUUGACCAAGUCUCGCAAAGUCUAUAUCAAAAUUGACAUGCUCUUCCCUUUAUUUAAAAAUCCAACAUUAUUCCUCCGCACAAUAAAAAGCAAGAAUAAAAGACAAGCCCAGAGCAGAAAGCCAGCCGUUAGGCAUGUUACCUUGGACACAGAUUAUAGAUAGAGCAGCCACAGAAAGCAGACGCAGAAAAAAUGGAUAUUAUAUUGUAUGAACUAAAAGCUUCUGAGUCUGGACAAAGAUUAAUCCAAACGGCAAAGAGCAUUAUAGAACUACAACAGAUGACCAAAAAAAUAAAAUAAAAUUUGCAGUCUUAAGUUAGUACUGGGACCAAAAAGUUCAAGAUCCAAAACUACAGUUCAUUUUCUUUCUCACAUUAUUCCAGCUACUACGCAACAAACUAUAACUAUUUCGCAGCCACGUUUAUGAUUAUUGCAUGUACAGUUCGUCCACACAGAUGCACAAAUAUCCACACCAAAAGAAGCAGAGUAUCCUAUUCAAUAAAUCAAUAAAAAAACAGAGGAAAAUCUUGCAAUAAAAAUCAGGAAAAAUGCAAUCCAAGAGAAGCCCACAUCACGAAAUAUAUACUAAAUAUGCCCACAUGAAUCAAAGAUACAGAAUGAAAGAGAUACCGUGACGGAAAUGAAGAAGAAAAAGAGCACUGAGCCAACAUUCGGGAUCAAGAAAGAAAAGCCUGCUGGGUACUUAUUCCUCCACCAACCUGCACAUGUUAGAAUAAAACAAAGGAAAGGUAGGAAGUUGAGGACUUCACAAUAUUACCACAUUUAUUAGGCUAUAUUUAGUGAUCCUGGACGAUCAAAAUAAAUGCUUCUUUCCAUAUCCAUCCAUAUAUCUACGUAGGUAUUGCUGUAUGUGUAUGCGUAGAAAGAGAAAAAGAAAAGGAGAAAAAAGAAGAAGGGAAUCAGAUUGGGCUAAGAAGUCAUGGUGAUGGGGAAAGGGAAAGAAAAGAGAAGGAAAGGAAAGAUAAAUCCUUCAGGGGUGUGUGUUUUUUGAGUUCGGCACAAGCCAGCUGCAUCACUCUUUCAUUCCUCCAUACAAAACACACCCUUUUUUGUUUUUGCUUUUGUUUUUUUGUUUUUUUGGUUCUUUUCCCCCUCUCUCUGCCUCCCUUUUUGCUCUCUCUUUUUCUCACUGGCUUCUUCUAUGGUGGUUUUUUCUUGUCAAGUCAAGUGGUAUCUAAGGAUUUUCUGCUGUCUGCAAAAUAUAUAAGCACUUUGGGAUUUCUGAUUUUAGUGAGAGAGGGGGGAAGGCUGAGAAGGGGGGGGGGGGGGGGAGAAGGCGGGCUUGUUAUGGAUGUCAGAGCAUCGUUGGGCAGUGGGGCUGUUAACCACUCUGCGAAAAGGGACAAAAAGUAGAAAAAUGGGCCACUUGAGGGAACCGAAACAUACUAUAGUCUACAGUAUGACUAUUACCCUUUGAAUUUACUUUUGUUUCCCUUUACCUUUCCUAUCUUUUUUUUUUAAUUUUAGUAAUUGUUUAAUUUGUUUUGCAAUGCCCCUUUUGGUAAUCUCCUUUCCGUCAAGCCUAAUUUGGGAACAGACAAGGACACAAUAAAAGAUUUGUGUAUGAUAAAAAAGAUCAAUUGAAAAACAUUUUUGGAAUAAGAAGAUAAAAAAAAAAUGGAAGAUGAUUUUAUGAUUAAAAUCAAAAUCUUUUUCUUGCCUUUUGCAAACAAAUGGAUUAUCGAAAUGAACUGAUUAUUAUGCAUAAAAGAACCCAAGAAAAGAUAACUCAGGCAAAUUUCCAUAAAUAAUACUAAAAAAUAUUUGACCUCCAAAUGAGACAACAAUAGGAUGUCAUGCUCGCAUGUACAUUCUAAUAUUUAUUUAUGGGGCAGCCAUUUACUGACAGAUGGGGUAAUCUUAUAACCCUCCAAAAAAUUCACAUUUGGAGGACAAAAAAAAAAAAAUUUUUUUGAGUAUUAUAUGUAGAAAUUUGCCAAAAAAACUCGCGAUAUUUUCUCUCCUACAUGCUUGGGAGUUUAGAAAUUGUCCAAAGUUAACAUGUUCAAUUUAGAUGGUGUAAGAUGUCACCGUUUUGAUUGCAUUUUUCUGAAUUUUUUUGUAGAAAAAUUAUUGUAGCAAUUUGAUAUAUGUGAGGUAAAAAGGUGAUUGAAAAAUAUGUCUACGGGAAAACGUAGCAAUUUUUUCAAUCCAAACGGGAUCCACAUAUAUAAAAGUCAUGGAAUGAUUUAAAAGUCAACUUUUGAAAAACGAUUUUAAGUUUUCUUAAUCAAGUUGUGUAUGAUUAAAACUUGCAAUGAUUAAUAGAUCUAUGUUUUGCUUAGUUACAGUUAACGGAUUUCUUCAUAAUCAUGCUAGUUUAGAAUUGCUUUUUAUUUAUAGGGUCGAUGACCCGAGGCAUUUUUCAUUUUCGUAUUGCAUUUUGAGGGGGGAAAAAAAUCCAUUUAAGUGAUUCCUUCCCAAGUUCUGCCGAUGCUCAUAAAUAUUUCAUUUGCUCGGUAACCGGCUGUAUAUAUGUUUGCAAGCCAUUUUGGAAGCACGCUAGGAGUACUUAGGACUACUGCUUAUGAAUCAUCUUUGGCCCUGGUUCUCAUUGCUUUGAAUUAUGCAUACAUUGAUUAUGAAAAGUUAUUAUAAAGAAUAAUCAGAGUCAACAAAAAUUACAUUUCGAUAGGUUAUAGAUUUUAUUGUUUUUCACUAUUAACAAAUUUUAUAAUUCAAAUACAAGAUCAAGUGAGAAAAUCAAAAUAGAUAAUUAUCCAAUAAUUAAAAUGAAUAAUCAAUUAAAAUGAUGAAUGUAGAACAAGCAUAGGGGGUUUUUUUUUUUUUUUUUUUGCAGAAUUGACCUGAUGUAUGUUGAAUUCUUCAUGCCACCAAAAUCUUUAUGAUUGGCUGUUUUACUUGGAAUUUUUGUAAAAUACGUCUAUUUGAAUUGCUAUUUUCUAGAGUUUUUUUAUUAAAAACAAAUGUACUGUAUCGAUUUGAUAUAUGUAUUGUUCUAUUGCCGUGCUGAGAAUACAAUAAUACGAUAUUGCUAUUUUGAUACAAGAAUUUUUGUAUGUAAACAAAUAUGUCAUAGAUUUGUGCCCAAUAAUGUGGUAUGCUUAUACGUCAAUCCAUUUAACAAAUACAGUGGUAGUAUACGAUCACACCAUUUACAAUUCUAACCAACCGUCCACGGUCCAGAUUCUCAAUCGAGAUAGAUCAAUACGAGCCACCAUUAUUUUUGGAAGUAAAAUAAGGCAAGGAUGGAGCCCUCAAAGCUAAAAAAAUGUGAAGAUAGUUGUUGAAGAAUCAACGUCUUCUUUAUUAGUUUUAGAAUUAAAGAAAAUUUUGAGGUUCCUAGCCUAUGGGGACCAUCCUUGUAACGAUCUGACUUAAAGUAUUGUAUCGAAAUCUAAUCUAACUUAAGUCAGUAUAUCAAUCGUAUGGACCACGUCGUACACACUGUUGUCUACAUCUACACAACUAUAAAAUCAGCAAUUUCCUUGCCAAGACCCCAGGAGAAAUCGAGUAUGUAGCGGAGCCUGAUGAAGAUAAUAAAAUAAAAUAAAGAAAACAUUUUUUUGACCUAUAAGAAUAACUUUAUUUCUUAUUUGGCUAAGUGGACUCAUAGUCUACGUGUAAAAUAGAUUUGAUGCUUGAUAGUAAUUUCUUGUCUUGAAUAACUGAUAUUCAAAUUUAAUAAACUCAAAUUAUAGUUUUUUUUUUUAACAAAGAGCAAACUUCAUUAAUUAAAUGCUGGAAAUCGUCCAACAAAAAUUUAAUUUACAUCAUUGCAAGCAGGUUAAACAUGUAUUAGAAAUAGCAGACCGGAUCUGCAAUUUAACACAUAUACAAUGAAUUUGAAGAAAUUUAUAGUUUAGACAAUGGUUACGUGACAAAAAGCAAACUUGCACAUAAAAUCCAAUCAGCAAAUUAUAUAGAUUCAUACUUGUAAUUUUUUUUUUUAAAAAAAUUAUUAUGAUUAUUAUUUUGCUUUGUGCAAGAAAAUUAGGUCGAUAACCUCGCUUUUGUAUUAGGAUAAGACGAGAAAGGUGUAUUGAAUCGCUUUUUUUCCUAUAUUCUACGAGUGAUAUCAACGGAUCUAGGCAACGAAAACACAAUUCGGGGCCUCUCCGGUUGUAGAUGCAAUCGCAAAAACAAAUUUGCUGCUCAAAUUAAUUGGCAACCGAUCUUAAACUGUUUGAACCCCAUUUUUUAAAUUAAUUUACUAAAUAUUGAAGUGUAAAUUGUCUUCUAUAGAAUGGACCAUAUUAAUCCCAAACCAAUUAAGAUCAUUAAUGGUUCUCUGCAAUGAAUUGCGGCUAUCCCACGGGAAAAAAAAUUUGUGCAGAAGCCAACUACUAAGCGCAUGCGCUUUUUGUCGAGAAUUGACGCUUGAUGCAAUUGUGAUCUUGCGUCGGGUCAGAUCAGAUGCUCUCACUAAAAGCUAACCUUUUAAUAUCUCCGCAUUGUGGCGUUGACUAAACCUUUCUUGAAAGCUUUGAUAUUAUGCAUUAAGAAGGUAAAAUCAUAACGCGGAUAUUUUUCUUGACAACCAGUAGAACUCUCGUAGUUUUUUUUUUUUUUUUGACAAAAAAGUAGCAAAGCCGACAAAUUAGUAUUCAAAUUUGUUUGAUUAUUUUAAUAAAUUUGACUGAUUUAUUUGUCGUAUUGAGUUUGAAAGAGCUCCUUUUUUUUAAUAUCAAAUUUGAUAGUUAUUGAACAUAAAAAGCGGUUCGAGUUUGGUUUGAAUAAUUGGUCAACUAAAUUCGAACCAUCUCUUAUCAAACUAAACUCAAUUCAAAAAUCGAGUAAUUUGAUUUAUUUUUCAACCCUAUUUUUAGUUUCAAUGAACUGAAAGAUUGAGGUUAAAUUUAAUUUGUGCUUAGUGUUUAUUAAGCUCAACCUCGCAUCCAGCAUUCUAUAUAAUUGCCAUUUUUCAGCUUAUUGUAAAGACCAAAUAUGAGAGAGAUGUUAUUAUAUUCCAAGGGUGCAUGACUCGGUUGGAGGAUCACUCGCAAAAAUUUUUUUUUUUUUUGGAAUAAGUUAGAGGUCUAUUUACAAUCACUCCCAUCUUACCAUCCGACCCAAUCCUCCCUCGACAAUCAUUCACACCUUGCUGCCAAUUUGCCAGGUGGUAAGAGAUGCAUUUGCUACUGAAUAUAAUAUAAAGUAAACCACGCAAGUUACGCUACUAACGCCCAGUUGCCCUCCUGCAAUGCACUCAGGAGUCAGGUUCUGGAAAGGAAGGUUCUACUCUCAACCUUCUACGCACUUAAAUGGCCUUAGAUUAAGGAGUUCAAAAAUGAUGAUGUCUAGUGUCUACAACCAUGACCGGGUAAGGAGUGAACCCGCUUCAACUCUGCGAAACUAAGUGGUGGAAUAGAUAGGCUAUGAACCCUGUAAAUUUGACAAUUAAAUCCAGAUUGACAUUUUUAAUCCAAAUUUUUACAACCUCGACUUUAUUUCAAAACAAAAACAUUAAGGUAAAAUCAUAAUAUUCUAAGUAUUUUAAAUGAGUACAGCAGCUUGAUAUGGAAAUCAAAACCUUAAGCAAGUUGGAAUUAUCGAAAGGGUGGUUUUGUUUUUUGUUUUCACUUUUCAUAAUUUAAACUUUUAAUAUUAAUCCUUGAUUUCAUAGAUUCCAUCGGUUUAGCCAGUAAGUUAGUGACCUACUAAUUGAACCAUUAACCCGUUGAAAAGCCCCGAGUGAGUUGGGGUUUAAUAACCGUGCUAGAAACCAAAUAAUGUACAUGAAUCUCACAGUAUUUUUGUGCACGCAUAUGGUUGUAAAAAUCACUACAAUAUUAGAAUCCGCAGAAAUCAUCUCAAUCGUUCAAUAAGCAAUAAAAACCCCCAACUAUCCUUGCCGGCUUGGGCCAGUCGCCAAGGACCCCAGCAAGUGCUCAUCCUCCUCUCCGGCUUGUUAAUAGUGUGUAGUGUGUAUGGAUAAUGGUGAUACCAAAAAGACAAAAGAUAAAGGAGGGUCAUUCUGCGGGAUCAAGGAUUAAUGCGAAGUUGGCUUCCUCUUGAACCUUCAAAAUUUUUGAUCAGGCCAAGCCGGGAUGAUUCAUUCCCAUUUGUAAACCUUUUAUAUUCAAGUCAACUUUGAAAUUAGAGACAUAAUAUGUAAUCUAGGGACGUACGUUUAGUUAGUUAAUCGUGCAUUGCAAAUGGAGUUUUCCAUUUCAGACAUGAUUAGCUAUCUCGGCCGAAUUAUAAUCGGAACGGAGGGAAUUAAUACGAUAUUGAUAUCUGAAUUAUCAAUAAUUUCAUAUCCGCGAUGAUUAUAUAUUGGCCGAUUCAAACAUAUGAUGCAUGAAAUCGACCAAAAUAUCUGAGUCAAUUCGAAAUCGGCUCCGAUAUAUUUUUAGAUUGUGCAUUUUAUGGUAUUUUUUAUUUUUAGUAUUUUUUUCAGAUUAUUUGAAAAUUUUUAUGUGUUAUAAUGCGCCGAUAUCCAAUCGAUAUGUUGCGAUAGAUGUCAAACAACUAUGACCGUGAUCCACGACAAGACCACGACCCGCGACGAUGAACCAUGAUUUCAUAACAUUAAUAUAGGUAGGUGCUUGAGUUAUUCUUUUAUGAGUUUAUCUAACGAGCGUCUAGUGAACAUUCGUUAAAAGAAAAAAAAAAGUAGUUCAAGUGUUAAAUUUUUUGAUAAAGAAAAGUUAAGUAGAAGAUGUGCAAUGCAUUCAAGUGAUAAGUUGUGUGCAAGAUUGGAUUCAAUAACUGUUAUUUAUUUAUUUAUGAUGAUGAUGAGUGAGGGAAGUUUACCCUUUGUUUGUCAAAAUGUAUAGCGUUGGUUAUUGGUAUCUUACUUGCCAUAAGUCGAGGACAUAGUGUAUAUUUUUAUGCCGAAUUUCUAGAUUCCUUAUCAUGGUCCACGGUCUUCAUAUCCAAUCAACAUUCACAGGAUCAGAAAGACAGAUAUAUCAACGGGGCUUCAAGGGUCGGCCCCUUCCAUAAUACUGCUCCGCUGUUCUUUUUUCUUAUACUAAUAUUUUUCUCCUAUACAUACAUAUAUAUGUAUAUAUAUUCCCAUCUCAGAAGUUUAGAAAUGGGGUAUCACAAGUUGUCUUUCUCUUGUACAGUAGUUUUUUUGCAACAAAGUAAAAGAUAAAACAAAGUAGCAGGAGUCGUCAAUCUAUUUGAUAAUUGUGUCUUGAAACUUUUUAGUCCCUCGAAAGAGAAUCCAGCUCUGUGAUCAACAGACAAAAUAUUGCAUGCACGAUUAGUUUCGUAUGCGUAUUAAAUUUCUUGCUAAUGAUGUUUGUGUGGUGAGACCGGACUAGGCCCCACCCUUAGUUGUAUCAAAAGUCCAUAUGAGCUUACAUCUAAUCAUAAGAAGGCGACACCACAUUUAGUCCUAGUCCUUGCUUGAGGUUAUAUAGAAAAUGACGAGAGUGGAAAGAAAGACCAAAAACUAUUCAACCGUACUCAAAAUUUUUUAACCACUUGGAAUUCCAUGGUAUGGUCGAAUUACUAGUAUAAUCGUGUCUUGUGAAUUCCAUGGCUGAAGCAAGGAUGCCUCAAUUUUCUUCCCUCUUGUUUCUCUGGUAUCCCGAGGGGUAUCAUAUCUGCUUUUGGAUGAUGGCUUCUUUGGAAAAACAGAAACAGUGGGAUCGUUGAACCAGACAACUCUUUUCACUGCACAUCUUCAAAUCUCGUGUAUCAACUCCGCUUCAGAAUGCUUCUCAGGGUAACCGGGUUGCAGAAGUCUUUUCAAGAAGCUUAGGCUUUGCAUCCUCUACUCUAGCAGACUGUUGGGCCUUACGAGAUGGAUUGUCCUUGGCAGUCCAAUUUAAUAUCAACUUCUCAAUAGUUAAAGUGGACUCUUUGAUUGCCGCAAAUCAGACAACAUCAUCAAUUCUCAAUGUGUAUUCACCUCACUUACUUGAUUGCAAGCAACUCAUGGGCCGACUUGGGCAGGUCACCCCGAGGCACAACCAUUUUUGGGGCUGAAAAAUUCAAUGCGUGAACGUGUUAGGUGUCUACUCUGGGUUGAUUGAUGCUACUUUUGCAGCUUACUUCAUCUGAACUCCCCCUUUGCAUAGUAAUAUUCAUAAAGAAGACACAAUUACAAAGCGUAGAAAAUUUUUCACAUCCGGAAAUUUUGUUGCCAUUUAUGCAACGCCAAGCGAAUUGAGUAAUAGUUUUUGGACUGCUAGAUAGGUUGAGAGGUCGGCCGUUGCAGCAGUUAUGAUAUGUUUAAUGCGCCUUAAUUAGAUGAAAUCAACUGGAAAAGAAUGGAAUGGCAAUAGCUUUGAGGCUAUAAAGAUGCAUGGCUGAUUACUAGUUCUCUGGGCAUCAUUAUCAACUUUGAAUACAUAGGAAAUUCUAGAGGACUGAAUGAGGUUUUCAAUCGAAAAAUGGUUAGCCACACAUAUGUUUUUAUGGGUUCAGUACUUGAAAAAUACAAAUGAUUUGAGGAUCUAAAAGAGGCAGUGGAUGUUGGAGGAGGGCUUGGUGCUACUCUUGAGAUGGGAGUUUCCAAGUACCCAGAAUCCGAGGGAGGGAUCAACUUUGACUUGCCAUUUGUUAUCAAGAAUGCCCCACCCUGCGCAGGUAUACCUUUUAUUCAUUUCAAUUUCUGAAGAUUGGAUUCGAACUAAUUCUUCAAAUUCGUCUCACCCCCAUAAGGGGCAAUAGAAAUUUAUUCAGAUCAACUGGUUCUAGUUUGUGUGUGUGUGUAUAUAUAUAUUCGAAUUGUCUAACCUGAUAAAAGAAUUAGUUCAUUACGUCAAUUUCCCUGCUACAUCUUUUACAAUGAGACAGAGACUUGGCACUACUUUUUUCUAGAGCUGUUAAUCGAGCCGAGUCGAGCCGAGUAUUUGGCUGUCGAGCUCGACUCGAGUUUAAUUCGAGCCGAGCUCGACUCGAGCUCGUUAGGAAAACGAGCUUUAAAAUGUGUUCGAACUCGGCUCGUUAAAUGUAUAUGUGGCUCGAGUUCGAGCUCGAGCUCGACUCGUUUAUCACAAACGAGUCGAGUUUCACGAGUUCGAGCUCGAGCUCGUGCAAAUUAACCUUAAUAAAAACCUAUAAUUUUUAAUUUUUAUAAUUUUGAUUUCUAAAAUGACAAAUAUGCCCUUCAUUAACGAGCUCUAACGAGCUACUCGAGUAUCAAACGAGCCGAGCUUACUCGGCUCGUUAACUAAACGAGCAUGUUUCGAGCUCGAGCUCGACUCGUUAACCAAAAUUAACGAGCCGAGCUCGAGCCUUAACGAGCCGAGCUCUAACGAGCUUUCGAGCUACUUGAUUAACUUAACAGCUCUACUUUUUUCCUAGGUGUGGAGCAUGUCGAGGGAGAUGUGUUUCAAUGUGUUCCUAGAGGGGAGGCAAUCUUACUCAAGGUCAGUGCUAAAAACACGUUAAUUUAUUCUACAAGUAGUGAUAGACAUACCCAAAAAGGAAAAAAAAAACUAUAAUUUGCCUAAUAACUAAUUAAAUUUAAUUGCAUAUCAUCUUUGCAAUUCAAUAUUAACUAAGAAACGUUAUGCUAAGUGAUUUUGUUUUUGGACAUCAUGAAUUGCAUGUGCAUGCAUGGCUUUUUUUUUUUUUGGUAUAAUUCACGGGUGUCUACAUCCGUUUUACGGUUUGCGACUGAUCCUGUUUGAGUCAGGUCGGGCCUCAUAGGGGUAGCUCUCCCAACGUCAUUUUUUUUAUUCUCAUGAGUUUCGAACCCGAGAUCUCAUGAUUAAGGAUGCAAACCCCUUAGUUGCAUGUGCAUGGUUCUUAUUUGUCUAUAACGAGUUCUUUCUAAAAUGCUAGUUCUGUAUACUACACGACGGGACCGAUGACCAAUGGCUUCAGCAUUCCUAUCUCUAUAUUCCAAUGUAGAAUAACGUUUUCAUUUUCCAAAAAAAAAAAGCUCAUAAGGUUUUCAUUGGUAAAAAAUGCUCUAAUCCGGCCUAGCUCUUAGAUUUUAUAGAAUCAUGAGACCAAUAUGCUUAUUACUAUGUUAGCCACAGAGUGCAAAAAAGCGUUUGGUUUAAUGUCACUUUUACAUUGAGAAUUUUAUCUUAUCCAAAAUUACUCGCUUUGAUUUCUUAUAUUUAAGCACACUAGUGAAUGUCUCAAUUUUAGUAAUAAAUGCAUAUUAAAUGUAAAUAGGAUUUUUAGAAAGAAUCCGAUUCCAUCCAUUAAUUGCGAACCAUUCUCGAUCCACAUAAUCAAUGAUAAUUUACAAUUACAGUUGCAUUUGUAGAGGCCCCUCACCAUGUUUUGCAAUUCCUCCUCGAAUUUGCAUAUUUUGAAAGUACAAUAAUAAAAAAAAAAGAAUAAAAGAUAAAGACAGAGAUUUUCACAUUCUCGGCUUUUUCGACAGCAGACAGUCACGUAUGACGAGUUAACGACGCCACAUGAUUGUUCCAGCCCAGUCCCGAUUGUCCGGUUUUCUAACCCGCCAACCAUGUAUCCAAUUGCCUCCAAAAACGUCGCCGUCAUCGGGGCCGGCGCUGCUGGGCUCAUCGCUGCACACGAGCUCCGACAGGAGGGUCACAAAGUGGUGGUUUUUGAGAGAGAAAACCAAGUGGGAGGCAUAUGGGUCUAUAAUCCAGCGACCGAAUCCGACCCUCUCGGAGUUGACCCGACCAGAAACCUGAUCCACUCGAGCCUCUACGCUUCUCUCCGGACCAACUUGCCUAGAGAAGUAAUGGGUUUUCGGUCAUACCCGUUUUUGUACAAAAGGGGAAGUCACCGGGACCCGAGAAGGUUCCCGGGGCAUAGAGAGGUAUUGGAGUAUUUGAAGGACUUUGCAGUUGAUUUUAAAUUGUGUGGGCUGGUGAGGUUCGGAACUGAGGUAUGGCAUGUGGGAUUGAUGGAAAAUGGUAAAUGGAAAGUGACGUCAAGAAAAAGGGAGGGAAAUGCAUAUAAUGAUAGGAAUCAAGGAAAGUUGGAUGAGGUUUAUGAUGCUGUAGUAGUUUGUAAUGGGCAUUAUACAGAACCCCGACCUGCAGAAAUCCCAGGUACCACCUCAAAAUAGAAAAAAAUUUACUUGUAACGUUGAAUGUUAUGAUUAUAGUACUAUUAUACGAUGCUCUGAAUUUGUUGACUGAACUAUGGAAUAUGCAAAAUGGAAGUUAUAUGACUUAAUCAACGAUAGAGAAUUGGGUUGGAAGGAAUAAUCUAGUGGGUUUCAUCUGUCGGGAGUUUUUUUUUUCGGGUAUUAUGUUAAAGGUGUAUGGAAUUUCAUUUUGUAUUUGUAUGAAGAACCAAACUUUAAUGAGUUGAGCUUGUUGAAAAACUGGGGUAUUAAGAUUGCUGGCUCAAGAUUGGUUUUUUAUGCUGUAGACUUGUAAAAGAUGUUCAAAAAAAAAAAAAAAGAAGACAGACUUUAGGAUGCCAAUCUUGUAAGUCUUGAGAUUGGCUGAGUUUCAGUUUUCCCGGUAGAUUUUCAGUUAUUAGCUUUUUGUUUAGGCUAGCUGUUAUUGGUGGAGAAACUGAGCAUGAUAUAGCAGUAUCAAACUUUGAAGGUUGCUUACGUUUUAAAUUAGUUUGUAAUUAUUUUCUUCGUUCAGGACAUUGACUUUGAGGAUAUCUCGUUUUUGGUUUAAAAAAUGUUUUGUCUGGGAUAGGGAUUACGAGAAAGAAAAUUUCAGAUGAUUUGGUAAAUUGCAUAUUAGCAGAUAGUGAUUUUGAUCCUUAUGUAUUAUUACAGAGGUCUCAUUUCAAUGUGAACCGUAAGGUUCAAGGUUGUUUUAUUCGGUAAUUCUUCUUUCCUACAAUGGCAACUUAAAUUGUUUACUUUGCUGUUCUCAAAUUUUGCAACUUCAUCGUUGUUCCGACUAUUAGAUUCCUAUCGUUUUAUGGCUUUCCAAUGUUUGAGUAACCUACUGUGUCAUUCUGCAAUAGAAGUACUCAUUGUAUGAUUCUGGUUAUUCAUAUUAUACAAACAUAAAUUUCGAUCUGUUCUUGCUAAAUUGCAGGGGUUGAAGGAUGGCCGGGGAAGCAAAUCCAUAGCCACAACUAUCGUGAUCCUGAACCUUUCAGAGAUCAAGUAUGUGGCAGGUGUCCCUUGUUUUCCUUUUGUUUUUUCUUCAUCUAAAUCUCGUCAUCAAUCUCUUAGAGCUGCAUAGCAUACUUAAUGGCUUAGGUUCGUUUUGUUUUUACAUUUUUUAUUGUUCCCUGUGAGAUUUUCUAGGAGUUGUGUGCUUUAAGUUAAAGAAAUGAUUUUAAAUGUCUUUAAUAAUGUUUAUUACUAGUGUUUCUUAUUCUCGAUUUACUUGUGCCAAGAUUCAUUAUCUGGAGCUUGUUGACCUUCCAAUUGGUUCAUUAGAGGACAGAUAGCUCUUUGAACAGGUGUUAAAUUUAUAUGGCAUGACUUAAAGCUGGCAAACAUUUAGUGCUUCUCUUUUCUGAAGGCCUUUAUACCAUCAGAAGUUGACUAGUCUAUCGUUCUGCGAUGACAAUGGAUUUGUCUGGGUUGCAAUCUAAGCAGUAGCAUAAAAUUUGUUUUCACAAUUUGUUUAGCACAGAGGUGCAUAUUCUUGCAAGCGACUAAUUAGUUGAUGGGCGAGAAUGCAUCGGUCUGUGAUAGAAGGGCAAAGAAUAAAUUUUUGGCUUCACUUUGUACAUAAGAAGUUGGCUAUGGUGCAGUAGGAUGUUGUUUUAGUAUAAUUAGAGGCUUAAUCUGUGGCAUUGGAAGGAGAGCAUUUAGAAUAAAAUAUGACUCAAUGGCAAGAUGAUGGUUUUUUUAACACUAUUUGUUCUCUUUUUAUCAACCGGAUACCAAUUCAACAUGCCCUGACAGGUGGUGGUAUUGAUAGGGAGUGCAGCUAGUGCUGAUGAUAUCUCCAGAGAGAUCGCUAAAGUUUCUAAAGAGGUUCAUAUAGCAUCAAGAGCAGUCCAAAAUGGCAUCAUGGGAAAGUUGGCUGGCUAUGAUAAUAUAUACCAUCAUUCUAUGGUAAAAUUGCUGAUCCUGUAACUGUAAGAUAUCCAGCACAGGGUUUUUAACAAUCAGGUGCUAAACGUUUUAGAAUUGGAGUGCUGAAUGUAACUGACAAUCACAGAUAGAAAGCACACACGGAGAUGGUUCAGUUGCUUUCCAAGAGGGUAGUGUAGUCUAUGCUGAUAUCAUCCUGCACUGUACCGGGUAUUGCCUUGAUUUUGCUUGCAACUAUUAGAAACUAUUGCUUGUACUAUUUAUUUAAAUACAGAACUAAGAUAUUCUAGUUGAAGAUUUGCAAUAAAUCAUUAUUCAUGUUCUUUAAGGUACAAAUAUCACUUUCCGUUCCUUGAAACUAAUGGCAUGGUAACUGUGGAUGACAACCGUGUGGGGCCACUUUACAAGCAUAUUUUUCCUCCAGCUUUAGCGCCAUGGCUUUCAUUCGUUGGGUUGCCGUGGAAGGUCUCUUGCAUAUAUUCCAUGUUCGGAGUUGAUGAACUGUUCUGGUUGAUAAUCCAUGUAAUUGAUAAAAGCAAUCUUUUUUCCCUUUGACUGCUAGGUUGUACCUUUCCCCUUGUUUGAAUUUCAGAGCAAGUGGAUAGCUGGUACUUUGUCUGGUCGGCUUUCACUUCCUUCUCCCAAGGAGAUGAUGGCUGAUAUUCAAGCUUUCUACUCAUCAAUGGAAGCAUCUGGCACUCCAAAGCGGUAUACUCAUAACAUGGCUGGUUAUCAGGUAGAAAAUGCUCGCCUCCUUCUCGAAUUGAUGUCAUUGUCUAGGAUAUCCUGCUUCUGAUUUGAUUUUGCUGCAGCUCUACAUUGUCAUCUUUCACCAGUGUGACCCUUUUUGCACUUGCUUUUCCAUGGACCUAGGCUAGAGUUUUUAAUUUCUGCCCAACUCAACUGAUGCGUUGUUUUAUAUCGCCAGUUCGAAUAUGACGAUUGGUUGGCUGCUCAGUGUGGUUGUCUGCCGACUGAAGAAUGGAGAAAGCAGAUGUAUGUUGAAACUUCCAUGAGAAAGAGGUCUCAGCCUGAGACAUAUAGAGACCAGUGGGAAGAUGAACACUUGGUCAGACAGGCACUAGCUGAUUUUUCACAGUACUUUUCAAAAGUUCCUAGUAGCUAGAUAUCAAAAUCACCCUUCUAAUUGGUUGAUUUGUUGAUCGGGUUUGUUUAUUGUUUGAUCCUUGAUUUUCUCAAAAUCAUAUAGACUGGUGAAUGGUGGCAACACAGUCUCACGAGUCUGUAAUUCUCAUGAACGUAAACACUUGCAACUCAAGAAGUUGAAUAAGAGGACUCGAUGUUACAUUUUUUGUCCAGCUAAUGAGAAUAAUUCCUUGAACUUUAUUUUUUUUCUCGUCUUAAACUCAUUUGCUAAAUGGGGUAUCUUGUAAAGAACAGUAUCAGUUAAAAAGAGUACAAAAAGAUCAGCAUCAGUUAAAAGGAAGGAAAAGCCAUCUACGACUGCUUGUUCUCGCACCAGAGAACAAGAUAUCGUCCACAGAAUACUGUGCUUUUGGUAAAUAGGCUUAAACCGGUAAUGUAUUGUACAAAAAGGCGUGCACCAGCCGGGAAUCGAACCCGGGUCUGUACCGUGGCAGGGUACUAUUCUACCACUAGACCACUGGUGCCUUGACGCUUCUCUAAAAUUCAGGUAGUCCAUUAAAAAUGUAUUUCGUCAAAUCAUCGAAGUUCACUCUCAGAGGUUCUGGUCUUCUGCAUUGAAUCUCUAUACAAGCAAUAUGUACAAAAAUUUGCGAUGCCGAAAAAUAACUAAAACAUAUACGAAGAGUACUUGGAGACUUUGAGUAUUAAUUGGGAAACAAUAAUUAAUAUCUCUUAAUAAUCAAAUUCCUUUUGAGCUUCUCUACUUCUUUUCUCAAUCCCAAAUAAAGUUUUUUUUGCCAAUAGUUUUGCCAGUUCUCCUAUCAAACUCCUAAUAUAGGGAUAAACUACUUAAAAAGCCCUAAAUUAUUUCAUUGUCAACUUUUGACUGCAUAUCUAUAGUAACUCUUAAAUUUGUACGUAAACAAUAAAAAAAGUGUCAAAUUUGGAUCCUUCAAUCUACCACUACUAUUACAUUUCAUAGAUCUAAAUCCAAAAUUUCAUGGAUCUAACAACAUAAAUAAAUUUUUAUUGUUGAGCGACCAAUUUGAGAUUUAAAAUGAAUGACAGACCAAAAAUUGAUAAUUACAAUAGUUUAAGGGCUCCCUAAGUAGUUUAACCUAAAUUUUCUCUAUUUGUAGUAGUGAGAUGAAGAAAGAACUAGCAAAAUUUAGAAGUUUCAAUGUGUGGGAAAAAAGUUAUGAAAACUUUUCAAAUGAAUUUAUAUAUUGAGAGCACAUUGUCAAAGAAGGAGAAGUAGAGGUACAGUUAAGUUUUUAUUGAUUGGUUUUGAUCCAAAUAAUAGAGGUGAAUGGUUUAUUUUUCAUUGGUCAGUGUGUUAGUUUGACAUAGAAAAAGUGACAAACAAGGAAUAACAUCAAAUAAAUAUCUUAUUAAAGAUGGUAGAGACAAAAUUCUUUAAUUAUCAGGGCAAAAUUAUAAAUUUCUAAGCAAAAAUUACAGAUUUUGGUGAAUUUAAUGUGGGCAAUUACCCCCAAUGCCCCAUUGUCGAUCCGUCUCUGGGUUAAAAACUUUGCUUUGCUGCAGUGCCUAUAAUCAACUCUCCGUUUCAACUUUCAUCCCGUUGUAUCUCCGUCUCUUUUGCUUUGCUGAAGUACCUAUAACUUUAACUCUCCAUUAGAAGAAAGCAUAAAAAUAAUUAAUUUAAGGACAACCAAGCUCAUUAUCUUCGCCUCCACAUUUUCUUAUACCAAAGAGAUCAUGGACUUCUUAGUCUUCUAAAUAACAAAAAAUGGUAAUUAAGUGUGUGCGAGAAACUAACAAAGUGCAUGAAUAUCAUUUCGAAUUAAAUUGACGUGAUUUGCACAUUCCCUAAACGUUUGUAGAUCAUGGAGGAGAAUGAUUGAAUGCUAGAGAAGUUGACCUUGCAAGCUAUGCUGCAGGAGGAGUAGCGAUGAUGGAGGUUUCUCUCACAAACAUGGCAAUGGCCAGUUUCAACCUUCCAUUUUCCUUUAGUAGCGGUCGGUCUUUGAUUCAAGAACAGUACUUUUUUGCCAUUGGAUUUGUAUGGAUGCGUGGUUCAAAACUCCAUACAAAAUAAGAAUAUGAAUGCAUAGGAUGAGCUUAAAUAUCAGCGCGGAUGAUGAUAAGAGUAGCAGAUGACCUUUUUCCCCCCCCUUUAAAUGAAUGGGAGAAAUAUUGGGAUGAAUGAGAAUUGAACUGCCAUCUAAAACGAUUAAUUAAAAGACACUCAACCUUUAAAUUUUAUUCAAUUUUCCAGAGCAUUAGAUAAUCGGAAUAUGUUCUUUCCGAAAUGCAAAGCACCAACUGAUCCCUGAGAAAUUUACAAAGCCGAAGGGGCAAUUAGUUCUGAAAUGAUAUGUGCAAAAGCAACGGCCUAAGAUUGAUUGCCGUUUAAACAAAGAUUAUCACCGCAAGUGUAAUAUCACCUAUUUGAGCAAGGAUUGAACAGCUGCUAAAUGCAAUGUCAAAUUGGUUGGUUCAUCGCGUUUUGUUUCUUUCCUUUUCUUUUAUUUUUUUUGUGUGCUAAAUAAAAGGGUGGAAAGCGCAACCCGGAUUGCUUGCCGGUUUUAGGGUUUCUAAACAGCCAAUGUCACCAUAUAAUGCAUGCAACCAAAUGCGUAUGCUAGGACAUGAUAUAUAAAUGCAAAGAUAUAAUAAAAAUUGUGUUUACCAAUCAAUUGCAUCCAUCUAAGUUCUAAUUAAACCAUUGUGGGCCAUCAAUUACAAGGUGCAAUUGUAGUCCAAACCCUCUAUCUGGGCAUUGUGAGAUUUUUCAUUUAAUUAUGAAAAACUAUCUGACCUACAGCUGCUUGGUUUAAGAAGGUAAGCACGUUAUAGUAAAAAAAACCAAAGAGAAAAAUCUGGGUUCAUUUCGAGAAAUUUUCAUCACGAGUUUAUUGAAAAAGAAGUAAGUUUAUUCAUCUACGAUGAUACCCCACUAACUAGGUGCAUGAAAGAUCCUCGCCCUCGAUAACUCAUCUUCAUAUGAAAUGGUUUGGCGACUUUUAGCCUUUAAUGUUUGAAUAUGAAUUGACAAUAGGAAGUACAUAUGAUUAUCUUUUAUUACCUCACAACAAAAUGAAUGUGCCCAAGAAAAAAUUGAAGAAUACACGGCAUCUAUACCCUGAUUUUACACAUUAUAGUUUUGUUUCAAAAUAAAAGUGUAGGUGGUCCUUAUUUAUUUAUUUGGCUAUGCAUUUCGAUCAUUUGUUAUUUAUUAUUUAUAUGUAAGGCAUAUAUAUAUGUGAUAGGGGACCAUACAUUGCUGUAAUUUUAAAAGAGUACUGAUGAGUUGGAUAAUAUCUGAAGUCUGAAUUUAUGGGUUUUGGGCAAGACAAAUGACUUGGCCAAGAAAUUGAUAGCGGAUAAGAAAGGGGGUUUCCUUGUUUUGUUUACACGUCCAUAGAUACACUUUAUGGCACUGUGCAUAUGCUGGUUCACAUCCAGUUGUUGGAGAAAUUACUUGCACAAAAUGAGUCGAGCCUCAAACCCGAAUUCAUAAAAGGGUGAAGUAUAAUCGAUAAGCAUUUGUAAAUGGAGACUCUCAAGGGUAGAAGCCGUUCGAUAAAUGGGUCCAUUUGGAUUUAAGAAUUUUUGGAAAAAUUUUUCUUUUCUAUAAUCGAAACAUGCCAAAAAGAAGAAAAGUAAAUUCGAAAUCUGUUAGUUAGUAAAUGAACUCAAUGACGAUACUUGUUGAGGCGAGGAAAAUCGUUCAAGGUAAAGAAAAAUUAAGCAACUUAAUUCUAUUGAUUCUGCCCCAAUCAAGAUGAUGCGCCAAAGUGAAAAAGAAAAAAAAAACUCCUAACUUCAUGACAGAUAUUACGGCCAGAAAUUGCUUCUGGUUUUCUCCGGCUUCAAAUCCUCUGUUCUCAAAGUAGUCUCUGUCCCCUAUGUCCCUUAUUUGUACAGCUACCACGUGUCUUUAGUCUUUUGUUAACCCAAACUCAAAUAAAUCGAUAAUAAUCGGUUUACAAGUUUACUCAAAAUCAAUUAAAAUAGAUAAUUCAAAACUUUUUUUUUAUUUUCUUUUUAACAAAAAAAAGUCUUGUUGAUUUGGGGUAAAAAAUAAAGAGGAGUUUUAGUUGAUUUCUAUGUUUAUGAUCAACAAGACUUUUUUUUGUUAAAAAGAAAAUAAAAAAAGUUUUGAAUUAUCUGUUUUAAUUGAUUUUGAGUAAAUUUAUAAACUGAUUAUUAUCGGUUUAUUUGAGUUGGGGUUAACAAAAGGUUAGAGACACGUGGCAGUUGCACAAAUAAGGGACAGAGACUACUUUGGGGACAGAGGAUUUGAAGUCGUUUUCUCCUUACUCUAAUAUGUUUCAUGCUUUUUAUAAAGGGAUAAUUGCAGAAACCUCCCCUGAAGUUUCUGACGCUAGCACUCACCUACCCUAUGAUUUCUAAAAUUGCACUAACCUCCCCUAAGAGGAAAUUGGACCUAUUAUUAACAAUAAAUUGUAUGAUCUUACUUUUAUACCCUAACUAAUUGCAGAAACUUAAUGAAAGAAUUUUAGAAAAGAAAAUUUAUUUUUUGUCAACAAAUUGUGUAAUUAAUUAAACUAGAUUACCUGUGAGUUUUAGCAUUAUUAGCCAUUGUAAGCAAAACUAAGAAAUGGUGCCAAUAGAGGGAAGAAAACGGUGUACAUGUUUCUAUAUUAUGUUCUUCAAACUAGUCAAUUUAAGUCAAAUUUUAUACAAUUGCAGAGAAGAAGGUCAGCAAGCAAUUUUGGAGCUUCUACUAAAGUAAGUAUAAAGAGAACUUGCAUAAAUAUAUCUCCUCAAGUCAUUUCUAUUUCAUAACCCCCUUUAGUUCAGCCUACAACUACUUUUCAAGUAGCUAUAUCUCUUUCCAUUAAAACAGUUAUAACCAUAUAAUCUAGACAUAUUAGCAGCAAUAGUAGUUUUAGUACAUGGUUCUAAUGCACUUAUUGCAAUUUUCAUUUACUAAAAAUAACUUUAUCUUAUUAGUAUACACUUCUAAUUAUUUGUAACUAAACUUAUCUCACGCUCAGUAACUUUUAGUGAUAUUUAAGUAUGCUGUUAAUUAGUUGAUUGUUCAACUAUAUGUUUUUGUAUAUGAUUGGUGCAGAUAACAUAAACAGUUGUGUUACCCCUACAAAUAGCUAUUCAUAUUACUAAUAGAGAGAUUUAAAGUGAUGUGUAUUGUUUAUAAACUUUGCUGCAAGAACCUAGAUAUAUAGUCAUUUAACUAACCGUUGGUAUCCGCUGUUGCUUCAUGUAUUGGUGGUAAACUUCAUUCAAUUACACUUAUACCCCUUGAGUUUUGCUAAUUCUUAAUAGUUUUUCAUAUUUUGUCAUUCCUUUGUUAAUAUAACUUGGUAGGCAGCAUGAAGGGCAAAUCUGGUACAAAUUUCUCAUCUCACUCCUUAAAAAAAAAUUUUAAUGGUAACUUUUUUGGCAUGGACUGAAUCUGCAACACAAACCUUAAGUUCAAGGGUGGUAAGUGCUAUUUUUUAAACCAUAAGGAACGUGAGUGCUUGUAUCAGAAACCUCGGGGGAGAUUUCUGCAAUUAUCCCUUUUAUAAAAAGAAAAAUAUACUGCUACAGAUUUUUCGUGCUUCCAAAUGUGAAUCCGCAAGGUAGGAAAUUCCUAAAUGAUAUUCAUAUCCACCCACCAGACGGUCUUUAGGACCACUAACUAUCAUUAAUUUCAUUGUGGUCCCAAAUUAAGGACAUCAUUACAAAUAGGGCAACUAAUUAAUUUAAUAUUAUCGUCUCAGGAUUGCUGAUUUGCAAAUGCAUGUUUAACAACAAAAUAGCAAGAUUUCGCAUUCAAUGAAACACGAUAUGCCUGUUGCAACAUAAAAGAAAAGACAUUAUGGUAGUCGAGAAAAAAGAUCGAUUGGAAACUGGUAAAGAGGACUUUAAACUGCUAGUUUUGUGAAAAAAAAGUUAAAUUAAAUCAAAACAAAGUCUAAAGUAAUUGGUGCAAUAAAUAUAACUACAUGCGUUCAAAUGACAAUAAAUAUUUUACUAUGUUGUCGCAAAUUCUAAUUGAUAUAUGCGAUAUUUUGUCAAACUUGGUAGAAGCUAAUAUGCGAUGGAAAUUGCUUAGUGCAAGCGGACUAAGCAAUUGAAGGAAAAUUAAAAAAAAAAAAAAAAAAAAAAUCAACGACUGCGUGGUGGCUAAUUUAAUGCAUUGCAUUGGUUGUCAUGAUAAUGACCAAAUUAUACACUUCGUCGAUUGCAGUAAACGCGACAAAAAUAUGCACACCAAUGACAGCACCACUGCCAGUAUUGAUUGAUUUAUGACACUAUGAACAGCCCUAUCCAAAGUAUCCCAUCAUCACCACACUCACAAAAACUCCGUACAUUACAUUGAACUGGAAUGCAAUUGCUCCCAAAUGUCACCAAGUUGAACUAAUGCAGCUGACCUUGCUUGGAACGUGAUUUUAUGUACGAAAAUUUUACCUUUUUUUAAAAUAUUUUUUAAUCAAUUUUUUUAUAUAUAUCAAAUCGUUAUAAUAUAUAUAUUUUUAAUAAAAUUUCUUAAAAAUACAAUUCAAAUGAAUUAUAAAUAAUUAGCUCAAUUUCAUAUUGGUUACUAAUUUUUUUUUGUUACAUAUUCAGUGUAAAAAAUUCUUUACAUUGUAAUCAUAGCUCAGUGGCUUUUGUUGCAUGCAAAAUUAUCUUCGAGCUUGUAAUUAAUAUUACAAGAUCUUAAACUUGUUGGUGUUCAUAAUUAUUCACACUACAAUACGGACGGAUAAGAGCCCAAUCCAUCUAAUAAAAUUUCUUUUUUCAUCACAAAGGAAAGGGAAAAAAAAAAAAGACAAUCCAUGUAUUUUUGGUUAGAAAAGAAAGAGUCAAAUCCAUCUAUUUUUGGUUAGUUGAGGUGAAGACCGAAAAGUCCACAAAAAUUAGGAUUCGUAAUUCAUUGUACAAUCACCUUUUUACUAUAUAUAUUAGAUGUAAUUCAUUGUACAAUUACCUUUUUACUAUAUUGGAUGUACAUUUUAUGUUAGAAAUGUAUGUAUACUUGGUAUACUCGUAACUUGUGCCUUAAAAAAAAAGGAAAAAAAUGGAUGUAUACUUGUACAUAAAAUUGGACGAGAUGUCUUGCCUUUUCUUGAAGUUUGGAAAGAUUAAAGUAGUCUCGCUUUGUUGCCCAUGCUUCUUCAUCAAAUGCGGCACACCUUCAGAGAAUCCUUUUAAGUGAUAUAGAUGGAACUAAUCAAAUCAUACUACCUAAUCCGAAUUAAAGCAUUUUCUUGGUUUUUUUAGAACCUUUUCUUCUUGGUGAUGUCCAAGGACAUCUACUUGCAGCCAUCAGUGCCUGCACAAUAAUCCUAUUCUCCACACCUUCUGAGCCUGAACGCUGUCCUUGACAUAAUCUGGUGCCUGAACCUUGUCCUCGUGCAUCCUCGCUAGGGCCAAUCACUUCAGUGAUUUCAUGUUCUUGAAUCCCCGGACUUGUUGGUGCAGCCAUAAGUCCUUGCACAAAAACCCUAUGCUUCCCUUCUUCUGAGCCAAUCAUCUCAGUAAUUUCAAGUUUGUGAAUCCCUGAUUGACUGUACCUUGAUUCUAGAGGUUCCUCCUGAUCAGAAUCAAAUGCAAAAUGCGAAACCUGCCUGUCAAGUUUCCCAUGACCUGUCAGGGGCGGCGGACAAAUUUCAAACGGUUCUUCCUCAUCCUCUGAAACACAAGCAACAUUGAACUGCCUAUCUCCUCCAUUUAUCCGUUUGAAUGCAUCUGGAAAUUCACGAACAACAGAAACUUUGCGUCUUUUUGGCAACAUCGCGGAACACAGCACCAAAUUAGUUUGCUUGUCCUUCGGCUCAAGAAAAGCUCCAUCAACCAGCAUAGCCUUCUCUUUCAACCACUGCAAUUCUGAGUCUUCAAAUUGACCAAUAAAACUAGCCUCAAGCCCAUCUCCAAAUUUUGAUUUGGUCUCCUCUGAACGUUCAUUUUGGCUGAUGAUCCUACCAUGUUCAAACUCUAGCUCACUUAUUGGGAUCACGGAUUCUAAAUUCAACUGCAGAGCUUCUUCCUUAUCAGGGAAGGCCUGUGGUUGCUCACCAUCAAAUUCCAAAUCAUGAGAUAAGAGGCCAAGUUUUAUAUUAGAUUCUGCAACCAACACCUGAAGUUCCUUCUUAUCAGGAGAAACCAGUGGUGCCUCCUGCCCAAAUCCCAAACUACAAGACAGCUGAUCGCGUCCUAUCUCAGCUCCACUUCUAAAAAGCUCAAUGAUAUUCUCUAACGGUUCAAUAUUAUCCUCUAAAUCCGAGGCAGUAUCCUUCUUCUGAUUUUCACUCCCAGUGGUUUUCUUUGGAAAAUCCUUUUCUCCUUUCAGUUGCAAGAAGGCAUCAGGAAAAUCCCGAACUACCGAUACUCUACGCCUUUUAGGUAAAGGAUUAGGACUUAUCACUGAUUCACUCGUCCUGAUCAUUCGAUGAUCAUAAUCUACUCCUUCUACCUUAACAUUUUCAUUAAACAGCCCAUCUGCAACCUUUACUGAGUUUGUAGCAUUACAGGUUUCUUGCUCAGAUUUAUGAUCAAUCUCCGUACCCAAUUGGCAAAACUCCAGCGGAAAAUCACGUUUGCAAGACAAUCUUCUUUUCUUGAACUUGGGAGAUAAAACACAAGAGGAUGGAGAAAAUUCAAUCUUUUGUGAACCAUCAUCCUUAACUGAUGGAACCAAUUUCAAAUCCUCCAUAUUCUUGUUGAAAGAUCAAUGCUUAACGUAUUAUCAAUUCCAGUUAGAGGGUUGGUAUCAGAUUGUAGAGUUGUUAAUGAGGGUUCCAAGAAUAGGAAGAUUGGAAUGCAAAAGAACUGUAGGGAAAUAAAACAACUGUUUAAAUGAUGAUGAAAUUAGAGGGCUAUUUUGGAAUUCUGACCUGUAUUUGGUGGAGAAGGGUUUCGCUUGAUGAAAUUAAUGUCCGGGAGUUUUGAAGUUUGAGAUUUCGAGAAAUCAUGGAAUAAGGCGGUGGUGCGGUGAAGGAGGGAACAGGGUUCAAGUAGCGGAGGAGGAUUGGGGCUUCGGGGCAAAAGAAGAAAACUGAAAAUGAUCCAUUUUGGCAUUUUGGGCCUAACGAAAAAAGGUGGCUUUUCGAUUAUGAAAAUUGCAUUGAGUCCAUCCAUCAAUCAAUGCAUUUUGGGCCAAGGAAAAGAUGUAGUGUAAAAUGGGGUAAUUGUCGGGAGAGGAACGAUGGAGGAAUGAUUUGUUUGUCCUUUUUUCUCUACACGUAACGUAAGUGGAACAAUUUCUUCAAUAGUCGAUACUUAAAGUUGAAAAAAAAAAGAAAGAAAAAGAGUGAUUAUGCCAGCCGUGAUCAGCUUCUAUGAUGGAAGAUCAUAAGUUAAUAAAAUUAUUCUGUCAUCGAAGAAAAUAUAUUAUAUUAAAACAUUCUUUGACAAUGGAAUGGAUGACCAUUGAGUCGUUAGUUUAUGGUCCAACUCCAAUAUGAAAUUUAAGUGGCUAAUUAUCUGUAUUUAUUUGUUCAUCCAUUACAACUGUUAUAAAUGGUGAGAUUAACAUUUUUUUUUCUAAUUUUUACUCCAAAAAAGAAAUGUUUUGUCUAACUUUAUUUAUUUUUUUCACAAAAUAAUGUCACAAUAAUGUUCUUUGUUCUUUUUCAACAAUAAUGUCCUUCUAUCAGAAUAAUCGUAAUUUGAAGGAAAACUUUGUGGCUCCUUAUUAAAUGACAAUCGGGAAGAAUGCUUAUAUACGCAAUAUUAUGCGCUUUAUUAAAUGAAAACAGUUGUGGCAAAUUGGACCUUGAAAUGAAAAUGUUGCAUCCAUUAAGCCCCUCAAUAUGGAAAUCUUUAUUUUUUGGUCCCUCUAAUGUGAGAGUUUGCUGCUGUGUUGCUCCUCCUAUUUAGAAAUGAAUUAAAAACAAUUUCAGGAAUUAGAGUACAUUGGAUGUAU